rnacentral:lncRNA from 1 species
AAAGGUAGACCAAGGGAUGCCUGUUGUGCAGUGAAUCACUGCAUCAUAUUUUUGGCCUGACGGACUCUUAAGAGCUGCUCCCUCUGGGGUAUUGUAAUCAAGAACUUCAUCUGCUCCUAAGCUCUUCACAAGAUCAAUGUUGCGCACUCCACAGGUGGCAGUAACAUGAGUGUUACCAAGUUUUGCCAAUUGAACAGCAUAGUGACCGACGCCACCUGAGGCAGCCGUAAAUAGAAUGUUCUUCCGGGGUCCAGUUCCAUUGAGCUUUACCUCAGAAUGAUUGACAAGGGCCUGAAGAGCUGUAAGACCUGCAACAAUAAGACCUGCACCUUCUGCAGCUGAUACUUCAGCGAGUCUUGGAACAGUCAAACUCUCAUUAGCCACCGCAUAUUCAGCCGAUCCACCUCCAUUCUGUAUCAAAGCUCAUGAAAGAUACAUCAAUCAUAAGCGAUAGAACACAAUAUUACAACAUGACUAUUCAAAGUAAAAUGAUUUAGCUAAUGAGGAGGAAUACUACAAAGUCAAGAUGAGUGAGCAGAUUGCUCUAGCAAUAGUGCCUCCACUUCCAACCAAACUGUUAGGAUUCAAGUCAGUGGUGUAGUUCCGUGGGGAGGAUGAUUUGAAUUUUCAAUGAGGGUACUUGGCAGUGAACAGAAACAACACAAUAUCCGUAGAAGACGAAUGUAAACCCUGAGCAGGUCCCUCACCUACUAAGUUUCAACCAAGCUCCAAAAUGUAAGAGAGAUGUAGCGAAAGGAAAGCAUUUGAAAAGAAUUGGACCAACCAGGGCAUUGAGCAUAGCCACAACCUUGUCACCAGCCUUGAAUCUUUUUACAUUAGAUCCUACCUCUACAACCUCUCCUCCCACGUCGAUAGCUGUUACAACCAAAAGUCAGUUUAGAACCAAAAAUCAACACGAAUAAAAAUGCAUAUUACAAUGCAUUUAAGCAAUUACUCCAUAAAAUUAAAGAUAAUGGCCAGGCUGUCCUGAUGUCUUUGCCUUUUAACUUCCCAUUCGAGUACAUUACCAUUAAAAUUGCAUGCUUCAGAAGGGGCAUUAUUACCUGAUCCUACUCACUAUAGGAAGUUAGUUGGAAAACUAAACUUUCUCAGCGACACACGUUUGGACAUUGCCUAUAGUAUGCAACACUUGAGCCAGUUUAUGCAGUCUCCUAGAGAACCCCACUUCAAGGCUGCCAUACAUGUCCUCAGAUACUAGAAAAGUGAUCCUACUUUGGGUUUAUUUUUGUCAAAUGCUCCAACCUAUGACCUCAAAGCCUAUUGUGACACUGAUUGGGCUUCAUGUCCAGAUUCCAGGAAAUCAGUCAGUGGAUACCUUGUUCUACUAGGAGAUUGUCCUAUUAGCUGGAAGUUUAAGAAGCAAGAAACUGUGUCAUUAUCAUCUGCCGAAGCAGAAUAUAGGUCCAUCAGGAAAGUUGUUGGAGAAUUGGUUUGGCUUAGAAGAUUGCUGAUUGAACUGACCAUUCCAUGUUCUGAUGCUACACCAGUGUUUUGUGAUAGUCAAGUUGCUGCUCAUAUUGCUCGAAACUCAGUAUUUCAUGAACGAACUAAACAUAUUGAGAUAGAUUGUCACUUUGUUCGUGAUAAGCUACAAGAUGGAUUCAUAUCUUUGCACCACAUUUCUACGGUCAAUCAGUUGGCCGACAUUCUAACCAAGGCUCUCACAGGAAUUAAACACACGCAUGUCUUAAGCAAGUUGGCUGUGACAUCCUCACCUCCAACUUGAGAGGGGGUGUUGAGAUGAUGCACUAUUUCAGUUUGUUAGAGGAUCAGAUUGGUAGAUACAGUAAAUUAAUUGUUCCAUACAGAGUUAGUUGAGUUGGUUAGGAUUAAAUUCUAUAGAUUAGAUAUUUUACUUGAUCUCUUAUACAUGUAUAGAUAUGGAUGCUAGUAAUUGGAAUAAGAUACUUUCUUUUCCCCAAAUCAAUCUUCUUCAUUUCAUCUGUUUACAGUUUACAGAAUUCAUCUCCCUCCAUUAAUGGAGGGGUUCAGUAAGCUUGAUAGAUCUCUUUUUCGACAUUAACUUUUCAAACACUUUGUAGAGAUGGGUGAUGUGAAAAACAUGAAACACAAGGCAACUGCAAUCUAAACCAAAAAGCACAAAAAAUAGAGUGCAAUGAAAUUCUAACAAAAUGUGUAGAUGAUUGAACUUACAAGGAAUAAAAGGAAACUUGGUAGGAAGAAGUGGACGAAGCAUGCCCUUCUGAAUUUUCCAGUCAAAGGAUUUAUGCUUGUAGCCUCCACUUUUACCAAGACUUCAUCCUUCUUCGGAGUAGGUACAGGAACUUCCACAUGCUGCAAGAGUUUUAAUAUUAGAACUACUGUUUCUACUUCUGAUCAGUAUAGAGCAGCCUCAUUAGCGGAAGUGUUUAAAACAAAUUACACAAAAAAGGAAUAACAAUAUGCUUUCUCUGCAAUGACGUCCCAAAGAAUCAACCAAACAUAAUUACUGAUACGAAAAAGAAAAAAAAAUAAUUGUUUUGCAAAGCGGAAUGUGAAAAUACCUUCAAUCCAGCGGAGCCGCUGCCGUAAGAGUCGUAUUGAACAACAUGCAUAGCCAUAUCAGAUUCACCAAUUUCAAUUCUCUCUCAAAUUGGAGCAAAAUGGGCGAGGCUGAUGGAUAAGAUUGGAAUAUAUAUACAUGUGAAUCGGCGGUAGCAUUAGAGUGUAUCUAUUGGGGCACACGCGGCCGCCUAUCCACGACUAUUCUCUUAAAAGGGCAAAAUCCAAGAUGAGUGGUAGUGUGUCCAUCAACAUCAGUAAAUGCAACUUGCUAACCUUUGACUUGACAUGGAAUUGAACUUUUUAAAAUUUAAUGGUUUAAAAUAACUUGGUAAAUAUUUUUCUUACCUAAUACAAUAAUAUAUGUCUUCAUAUAAACUCAGACAAAAAAUAAUAUGAUAAUAAUUAUUAGAAUAUUUUCUAAAAAAGAAAAAUAAAAACUGUUUCAACUCUCUAAAUAUGAUAAAUUUAAGAAAUUAAUAUAAUUUAAUACAAAAUAAUCUUUAUAUGUUAGGAAUUGUAAUCAAAAUUUUAUUUUAGUAAUUAGUAUUAAAGAGUAUAUUUAUAAUUUGGAACUAUAUUGUUUUCAUAAUCAAAACAAAUUAUAUUUAUACUUGUAUUACAUCAUAUCAAUGACUCGUUCAAUUUUUAUCUUAGGUUGUGUACAUGAUAUUUAUACUUUUAUGAAUCAAUGAUUUAAUCAUCAAUGAAUAAUAAUAGACUAAAAUCUAUAUUUUAAAUCAUCUAUUAUAUUACAACUAAUAUAUUAGUGGUAAUGAUCUGGGGUGUAUUUACGUAGUCAAGUACCAUACUUUUUUUCAUAUUUUAGCUUAGUUUCUAGUAUAAUUUUUGUGAAUAUCCUUGUCUAUAUUAAUGAUAUGAUUUGAUAACUAGUGGACAUAAUUAGGUUGAAUUCAAGCCAAUGACAAGAAGAGAAGACCUAUACGAUGGAUUAGAACAUAAAAGCAAAGUAAAUCGGACUAAAAUGAAGAAAACAUAGCUCUAGAAUAGACCAUGAGAUGAGUCCCACGCUGCACCUUUUUUGUGAACUUAACUUCAGUCCAGACUCCUCACAAUGCUUCUUGCAUCACAACCCCCUUGUCUGUCAAAUUAAAAAAAAGUUCCUUGGAUGUGCGCUCAUGCACGUGCGUGCCUGUGUUUGUGACGUUUUUAAGAGGACUAGAUUUAGAAUAACUAUUAGGACUUAGAAUUAUAAAAUAGAACUUAAUUGUUCUUAGUUUUUAGCUUUUGUUUAUAAGUGAUACUAGUAUAUGAGCACGUGCGUUGCACGUUUACUUCAUAACAAUGAAUAUGAACUAUUAAAAAAUUAUAUAAUUUUUAAAAAAAUAAUAUUUGAGUUAUAAUAACAAAUAUGAAAAGUAAAAUGAUAAACGUUUUUAAUGAAUAAACUUAUUGAUAAAAGGCAAAUGCGCGAUUUAACUUUUUAAAAAAAUGUUUGUAGUGUAUAGUUAACUUGAAGAUUUUCUUUUUGCAUUUAGUCCUUCCUUUAUUAUAAUUUUGGUAUAGAAAUUUUUUAUUUGUUUUAAAAGACAAAAUAAAGUUGCAAAAACAAACAUGGAGGCACACUAUCUUAUGAUUAACUUUCUUAAAAUGUCUUUUUUAUCUUAUAGAAUAGAGUAAAAAUAUUGAAAAUUUUCCUUAAAAUGUCUCUCUUAUCUCAUACAAUAAAUUGAAAUUAAAUUAAUAGUUACACAGGAUAUACAUUUCAAGAAGAUAAAAUAUUUGACAGUAAUUAGUAAAAGAUGAAAUUCUCCUUCUCAUUAAGUAGAAUGAAAUUAAGUAAUUCAAAUUUAUAAAAAAGAAACUUAUUAGAAGGAAAUAACUAAAGAUUUAAAGUGCAAUGAUUGAUAUUUAAAUUAUGUAAUUAUACAAAUAAAAUAUUAAUAUGUAAUCAACUAAAUCAGAUUUUAAUUUAAUGGAGAGCCAAAAUUAUAAUAUUAGUAUUCUUACAACUAAAAGUUUGUUAAAAUAUAUUUUACAUUUUUUUUUUAAUAGGAGCAAUAUUUGGUCAAAGGAUAAAAGAUCAUGUAACUUCUUAAGCAUUUUGGUGUAUCAUUUUUUGAAUUUGGGAUUUGGAUCUAAUGAUAAUUUUAAUGAAACUUGUCUAAAAAUUAUAGAUUUUAUCCGCAAGCACAUGUAAGAAUGAUCUUUCACAAAUAUUUAAAAUUUAAGCUGCAAAAAUAUAAUUAUUAAUAUAUCUUGUAGGCAUUAGUUGUUUUACAUGCCUUAUACACUAUUUUUAUGAUUUUAUUUGUCUCAUUUUCUAAAGCAAAAAAUACACCCUUCAAUCAAUUAUAUUCUUAAAACAAAAUUACAAAUACAAAGAAAAAGUAUCAUAUAUAGCGCAAGUUUAGCGUAAGGCUACCAACGAAAAAUGAAAAAAUUCUAAGACAAUCUUUUCUCUAUUCUUUUUAUUGAUAAUGUGAAUUGAAACAAAGUUAUAGUAAUAAACAUUCAACUUUUGACCAUAAAAAAAAGUUAAAAUCUUUGGAAGACAAGUUAAUGGAAGUGAUAUUCAACUACAUAAAUGGAGGAUUUUAUCAUAGUUGUGAUCUCAACAAAUAAGUAAAAAAAAACAAAUACAUCAAGCUUCACUAUUCUAGUAAUUAAAGUAUUAUUCAUCUCUAUAAUCACAUUAUGCCUUGUAAUCUCGACACAAAUCUUCUUGCCUUGAAAUUUUCUUCACUUGAUUAAAGCUUCUCUAGUCUUCCACACUCAAAAAUUGUAUCACAUAUAAAUCUUUCUAUGAAAAUAAUGUUAAAAGCUUUGUAUUUAUAGAAAAAAAUAUAGCUUUGGAAUAUGAAGAUUCACUUACAAAAUUGAAAGGUCAAGUGUUACAAAACUUGAAGACAAAUAUUAAUUAAGAACAAAAAUUAAUUUAGAAGACAAACCAUAUACAUGUAUCUAUUUAAAGGAAUAACUUUUUUUUUAUUUUUUUUUAUUUAAUUUACUCACAUGUAUACCAACUAAAAAUAUUAUAGAAAUUCUACUAUUUACUGUUUAAUUAAUUAAAUAUUUAAUAAUAAUAUAUAUAUAUAUAUAUAUAUAUAUAUAUAUAUAUAUGAUGUUUUAUAACUUUUUUUAAUUAAUAUAGAGGUAAAAUUAAAUUAAAUUAAAAACUUUAAUUAAAAAUUAUUCUAAAGAAGUGCAAAAGUCAUUAGCAUUUUUAUUAAAAUAAUGUAAUUUAAUAUUCAAAUCAAAUAGUUAAAUAUUUUUAUAACAUUUUAAUUUAUAAAAAGGGUAAAAUUGUAAUUUAACUUUUAACUUUUUUGGUUUCCUCUUAUAAUAAUAUGGGAAAAGGGUCAAAAAUGUCCUUAACGUAUUGAAAAUGACUCAAAAAUGUCCUUCUUCUAUCUAUUGGAUCAAAAAUGCCCUCUCAUCUACCUAUUUGGAUCAAAAAUGCCUUUAGAGUCAAAUUUAAGCCUAAAAUUGCCCUUACCUUUAACAGAAGCUGAUGUGCCAAAUAUAUAUAUUUUAGUUAAAUGUGUGGCAUUAUUUUAUUGAUCCACAUAUAUUAGACCCACUUUCAUUCAUAAUCAUACCCAUUAACCCAAACCCAAAUCCAAACCCAUUUCUCCCACUUUCUUCAUCUUUUUUCUAAAAAAAUUAUUUGAAAUAUUAAUAAAAUAAUAUCAAAACAAUCAAUACAAGAACAUGAAGUUCCAAGCAUUUCUCUAAAAAAUUCAAAAUCUUUCGUGAGCUAAUUGGAGAUUGAACUCCUCCUCAACUGUUAAAGGCUCCAUUUUUUUUAAAAAAAAUGUGAUAAACAACAUGGCUUGAUUUGAUGAAUGUCUUGCUUCCAUGGGAGAUUGAAUGUAUGAUUUUUUUUUGUUCCCAUUUCAUCAAAUCCACUCAUUCUUUUGAUACGUUUUGAGAUACAAAUUAAAUUGUACUUAUCUUUACUAUCAUAAAAUUAGUAGGUCAAUUAAUAUUUUUUUCGAGAGAAUGAUGAUAUAUAGAAUUUUUAUAACCUUUUUUUUUAAAGAUUAGAAUUUCAGUAAUUUACCGAAAGAAUUUGAUAGUAUUUUAUUAAUUCUCCAAAUAAUUUUAUAGAAAAAAGAUGAAGAAAGAAAAAGUAGGAUCUUUUAGAAAUAGGUUUGGAUUAAUGGAUAUUAUUGAAAAUGAAAUUGGGUGUAAUUACAUGUGGACCAAUAAUCAUAAUGCGAACACAUGAAAUUUUAAAUAUUAUUUUUACCACAUCAGCUUCUCUUAAAUGGAGGGAUAUUUUAGGUUGAAAUUUUACUCUAAGAACAUUUUUAAUCCAAAUAGAUGGAUGAAAGGGCAUUUUUAAUCCAAUAGAUGGAAGAAGGACAUUUUUGAGCUAUUUCUAAUAGCUUAAGGGCAUUUUUAUCCUUUUCCCUAAUAAUAUAUGAUAAGCCAGAUGACAAACUGCACACAAGCCUUUUUAGACCAGUACUCUAUGGCUCCACAACAAUCUUUCCGGUAGCAUGUCCAUCAAUACUCUUGCUCCAAGCAUCUUCUGCCUUGCUCAGAGGAAAUCUGGAGUCGACCACGGUUUUAAGUUUCCCUUCCUUCACAAGCCCAACAAUCAAUUCCAGGUUUUCCUUCUUCGGAAUCAGAAGCAGUGGCACCAACUGUUUCUUUGAGAAGGUUAAUUUCUUUACUGCAAAGGUCCACAUGGCAUUAACUCCAGGAGUUAUAUCGACUACCUUUCCACUCGAACUUAAAUUAGGCUCAAAGGUAGACCAAGGGAUGCCUGUCGUGCAGUGAAUCACUGCAUCAUACUUUUGCCCUGACGGACUCUUAAGAGCUGCUCCCUCUGGGGUCUUGUAAUCAAGAACCUCAUCAGCUCCUAAGCUCUUCACAAAAUCAAUAUUGCGCGCUCCACAGGUGGCAGUAACAUGGGUGUUACAAAGUUUUGCCAGUUGAACAGCAUAGUGACCGACACCACCCGAAGCAGCCGUAACUAGAAUGUUCUUCCGGGGUCCAGUUCCAUCGAGCUUAACCUCAGCAGGAUUGACAAAGGCCUGAAGAGCUGUAAGACCUGCAAUAACAAGACCUGCACCUUCUGCAGCUGAUACUUCAGCGGGUCUUGGAACAGUCAAACUCUCAUUAGCCACCGCAUAUUCAGCCAAUCCACCUCCAUUCUGUAUCAAAGCUCAUGAAGAUCCAUCAAUCAUAAACGAUAAAACACAGUAUCACCACAUGACUAUUCAAAGUAAAAUGAAUUAGUUAAUGAGGAGGAAUAUUACAAAGUUAAGAUGAGCAGGUUGCUCUACCCAUGGUGCCUCCACUUCCAACCAAAACGGUUAAGAUUCAAGUCAGUUGGAAAAUACUGCAGUCCCAUGGGGAGGAGGGUUUGAAUGAGGGGACUUGGCCCCCAAAAGUAAACCAAAAACAAAACUAAGUAGCAUUGAACCAUAGGCAGCGAACAAGGAACAAUAACAACAUCCAUAGAAAACGAAUGUAAACUCUGAGCAGGUCCCUCGCUUACUGGUUUAAACCAAGGUCCAAAAUGUAAGAGAGAUGUAGCGAAAAUAAGACAUAUGAAAAGAAUUUGACCAACCAGGGUAUUGAGCAUAGCCACAACCUUGUCACCAGCCUUGAAGCUUUUUACAUUAGAUCCUACCUCUACAACCUCUCCUCCCACGUCGGUAGCUGUUACAACCAAAAUCAGUUUAGAGAACCGUAAACCAACAAGAAUAAAAUGCAUAUUACAAUGCAUUAGGGAAAUUACUCCAUAAAGAUAAUGAGCAGGCCGUCUUGAUGUUUUGCCAGUUAAUUCCUACUCAAGUACAUUACCAUUAACAAUAGUUGAUGUUAUUAUGCGAAGUCUAUCAUACUGGUGGCCUCAAACUUUAGCUCCAUUUAUUUUUCAGAGCCACUCACUCAUUAAAUACUACACAAGCAAAUUAAAUUCCAUUUCUACCAACUUUAUGGCCACAAAUCGUUUGCCAAUCAAAUUCUUUACUUUUUUAUGUUACCAUUCUCAAUCUUCCAGAUACUAUACGCUGAUGACAUGUCCUAUCCCAAUUCACAAAUUUACAUUAGUGUUGCAGAAUAGCUUCUAUACAUUCCUUCCUACCAACUCUAUCAGUUCCCCAAGUAAAUAGGUCUUCUAGAUGUUUAUGCCAGCCUUGCAUAACCUAAGCAGCCAACUACCAAGGCAAUUUUUGUUUUUGGCAGAAAAAACAAGCAACAAAAGAUUUCCUCAAUAUACGAACACCCAUGUCCCAUCCAAAAGAUAUUACAUCAGCCCAGGGUAUAGAAAAGGAAACAAGAAGAAAAAACUAUAUUAACUUGUAAAAGGAGAUGAUUUCUGAUAGGUAGCAUAGAGUAUUUGAGAUACUUAAGACUGUUAGACAGAGUUCCUCAUAACAAGGCUGAUGCAGAAAACAUUAAGAACAUCAAACACAAGGUGACCACAAACAACACCAAAAAGGACUAAAGACACAGCGCAAGGAAAUUCUAACAAAAUGUCUAAAUGUAAUUGACGAUUGAACUUACUAGGAAUAAAAGGAAACUUGGUAGGAAGAAGGGGACGAAGCAUGCCCUUCUGAAUUUUCCAGUCAACAGGAUUUAUGCUUGCAGCCUCGAGUUUUAGCAAGACCUCAUCCUUCUUCGGAGUUGGGACAGGAACUUCCACAUGCUGCAAGAAGCAAUGGCAUGCACACAAUAAAAAAGGUUUAUAUAUUAGAACUGUGCUACUACUGAGUAUAGAGCAGUCUCAUUAGAGGAAGUGCAAUAUAAUAUGAUCAAUAACUGCAAUCAUUACUCAAACAUAGAUUUCAGUAUCCUAAAUAGACGCAAUAAGGUCCAUCUGUAUAGCCUUGUUCUCUUUUACAGACAUAGAAAAGUCCUUCAAAGUUCUACUUCGUGGAAUCAAGAGUUAUAUUAUGUCAAGACUGAAAAUCCAAAUGGUCUCAAAGAAACACAUUUCUACACCUCAAAUGAUAUUUUAUAUGCACUACACUCAAUUUUUGUGCUCAGAUGACUGAUCCGAGGACUAUCCCAGUUUGUUGACAUCCCUUUUAAAUUAAUUCCAAAAAGAAUACACAUUUCUACGUCAAUUUUAAUUCCUUUUAAAUCAAUUCCAAAAAGAAUACACAUUUCCAUGUCAAUUUUAAUUUUAAUGAAAUGAUUUAAACCCACACAAAUAUUUAUCACUUAUUUUACACAAGAAGUUGAAAAAAAAGUCUUUUUUUUCUUAAAGAAACACAUUAAAAUGAACAGUUGGAUCUUAAAUUGCUCAGAGUAGAUCACUAUCAUCUAAGAGAUACUAGUAGCAUUUGUUAUCGAGAAACCACAAUACCAAUUACCCUAAACAGUCAAACGCCAAAAGAUGAACCAAAUAUAUGAAAAGAGGAAAAGAAAAAGGGAAGCAAGUGUUUUUGCUAAGCGAAAGGUGAAAAUACCUUCAAGGCAGCGGCUCCACCGUCAUAAGAGUCGUACUGAACAGCAUGCAUAAUCUUUCCAGCCAUAUCAAAUUCACCAAUUUCAAUUCUCUGUGAAUUGGGGAAGCAACAACACCUUGAAAUUGGAACAAAACCUGCGAAAACAGAUUGUAUAGGAAAUGAAUAUAUAGCUGUGAAAUCGGUAGACGGCAGUAGUAUAGAGUAUAUCUUUUGGGUGACACGCGGCCGCCUUUCCACUAAAAGGUUAUCGUAAAAGACAACAUUUGAACACUAGUUUUAGAGUGUGUUUGGCAUAUACAUUUUCAAUUUUCUUAGUUGGCUUAAAAUGGUAGGAACACCAUUUGAUAUAUUCUUCAAUUUUAUCCUUUAGAGUUAAUAUACCCUCUUUAUGAAUUUAUAUCCUAACUUAUAUACAAAUGACUCACGUAUACCUUUUUUCUCUGAUGAAAAUGAAAAAAAAAAUUAGUUUUAUUUUUUUCAAAAAAGAAUGUAAUCACAAAUAAGUAUAUUUAAUUCUCCUCAAAUAUAUGUAUAUAUAUAAAGUCAAAAAAAUAAUUUAUGUAUGAAAGAAAAAAUAAAAAUAAGAAUAAGAAAUUUAAAUAAUUAUAAUAAAAAAAAAGUUUAAAAAAUAAUUUAUGUAUGAAAAAGACUAAAAUAUACUUUGAAAUUUGCUAGAAGAAUCAUAUAUACCCCUAAAUAAUUUUUUAAAAAAAAUAAAAGCCUAAAUAUAAAUUUAAAACUAAUUUUGUCACUUCCGUCAAAUAAAGGAUAUAAAUGAGCUCAUUUUGUAAUGGUCGGGAUAUACAUGAGCUGUUUGUAUAACGGUAAGAGUAUAUAUGAGCUACUUUCGCAACGAAUGACAUAUCAACUCCACUUUCAGAUCAAAUAUUUCUUCAAAUUUAAGAAAAAUCAUUCACAUGCACAACUAAGAAAAAUAUUUUUCAAAACCAUACUUGAUCCUUUAAUUUCUUUUUAUUCUUAUCCAAACUCCGUAUCGCACCCUCCCAUUCAAAAAAAAAUAUUAAAAAUUUCAAAUUUAUGAUUCUUUUUCCCUCAUGCAUCCCUACCUCCCUAUCCCAUCCAAAAAAUUUAUUUUUGAAAAAUAUUUCUAAUCUAUUUUUUACCUCACGCCCCUCCACCCCCUCUAAAAAGGCCACCCUGUAAAACUUUUUCUUUUUAGAAAAAUAUUUUUGAAAACAUUUCAAAAUUUCAAAAGUUUAUUUUUGUGCCACCACCAUAGCUAUCCCACUCAGGUCAUUCUCGUUAAUUUUUUUAAAAAAAAUUUCAAAUUUUAUACAACUCCCAUACCUAUCCCACCUCGUAAAAAUUAUUUUUAGAAAAAAAUUAUUUUUGAAAAUAAUUUUCCUAGUUAAGGUCAUAGGUCAGAUCUCAAGAUCGGAUAUUCGAACGAUCAUCUUCUCCACUUUUGUAUUUCGCACAUAGAAAACGUGUUUUUCUUCUGACUUUCUCUCGUUUACGGAACGAAGAAAGCGAGUCUUAUCCUAGUUUGAGUGUCGAGAUCGGGUCCUAGAUCAAUUAUCAGGGUUGUUUUUUGGAUAGCAAUUAUUUUCCUUAAAGUGUAUUUUAUAGUCUCAAGCAACAAAUAAAAUAUAUUUUAUGAAAAAUAUUUUUCGUUUACCAUCCAAACAUUAAAAAAUGUUUUCUUCUCACCAACAAAACAUGAGAAAAUAAGUUAGAAAUUUAUUUAUUUUCCAAGAAAACAUUUUCUAGGAACCAAACACACCCUUAACGUAAAACUCUAUCCUUUUUAUAUUUACUCGUCAAAUAUUUUCUAUAAUUUUAAUUUUAUAUGCCAUUUUUGACAAACUAAAAUUCCUAGCAUUUGAAAAUUUUACAAAAAUCUCUACAUUGGAACGUUCAGUGAUAAAAAUCAAAAUUGAGACGCGAUGAUGUGUUCAAAAUUGAAACAUGAUAUAUCGCGACAUUUUGAAAUGUAUCUGAAUUUUCAAUUAAAUUAAAAAGAUUUUUUUAAUUUAAAAAGUGUAGGGAUAAGAUGUAAUUAACUGUUAAGAGUCGGGAUAAGAUGGUAAUUUACUCUUAAUCGUCGUAUAAAACUCUCUUAAUCGUCGAAUUAUUUUUCAAGCCCUAAGAAUGAACAUCAAUUAAUAUAGAUAAUACGGUAAAUAAUCAUGUUAAUAAUUAUUUUCUUAACUGAUGAGCCAAAUAUAAAUAUAAUGAGUAAUCGUUAAUAAAAAAAGUAAUUUUUUAAGCAACAACUCUUAGUUAUUUUUAAGGAAGAAAUUUUUAUAAUAUUUAUAUAUAUUCUAACAAUUUUUAACAAUUUAAUAAAUAUAUGAGUUCUCCAAAUAGUCCUUCAAAAUGUUAAGAUAACUUUUAUAAUUAAAAUGGUAAAGAAGGUCAUUGGACACGUAAUUGCCGAACGAUCUAAUUUGAUAAGUUUAUAAAUCUACCAUCAAUAGAAAGGAAUAUAAAAUGGUGGACACUUGACCUUUCAAAGUGAUGUUGAGUGUGCAUGAAAAUAUGAUGGAAUUUCAAAGACAUGACAUAGAACUUAUAAUAUAAAGUUAUGAAGCACAUACAAAUAACUAAUCCAUUAUGACGAAAAUAUGACUUGCGGUAAACAUCGUGAUUGUUUUCCCAUUCUUAAAGUGAAUGUUUUAAAAUAUGAUUAAAAGUAUGGAUAAGAACAUAUUUAUGUAUAGCUAGAUAAAUUUCACAUUCGACCUUUACGGGAGGUUUGAGAGAAUAAAAGAAAAUAUUUUGGCAUUUCAUUUGGUCAGGAACUUUGAGUACAUCGUAAGUAUAUGUUAUGUUUUAAUAUAAAUUAUCAUCAUAUAUUAUUAUAAGUGGGAAGCUUUAACCAUCAAAGUUGGAUUACCAUUUUGCUCCUUUACUAAAUUAAAAUAAAUUAUUAUUUUUUAAAUACUAAUAUUUUAUUACAUAAUGGUAGAAUAUGAAGUCCAACAACUACACUUUAAUUUUUUAGUUAUGACAUUAUAAUUAUAAUUAAUAAGGUUAAAUUAAAUUAGAGUAGAAAACAAUAAUGUAUGAAACUCUUCGAAUUUUGUGAUUCUUUGAAUUUUGAUAUAAACAUAAAUUUAUCUAUUAUGAAAAAGUAAUGUAUGAAACUCUUCAAAUUUUGUGAUUCCUUGAAUUUUGAAACUAAAAUAAAUUUAUUUAUCAUGAUUCAAUGUGUCUCAUUAAAAAAAAAUUAGUAGGUGAAAAGACAAUCAAAUAUCACUAUAAAUACCAGUUAAUUGCUUCCUAGGCCCAUCACAUUCUUUUCUUUUCUAUCAUUUUCUAUUCUCUUUUCUUCUUCCUAGAUUAAGAUAUGAAUACAUGUCGUCAAAAAGCCAAUUAGGGAGAAAAACAAAUAGAUUCAUUCUGAAAUUAAAAGAGAAACUUUCUUACAAAUUAGUUCAACUGUUAAACUUAACAGUAUAAGAUAUGACUUAUGUAUUCCUUUAGAUGUUUUUUGUGUUAGAUUAUGAUUUUAAGUUUUUCUUUUUUAUUUUUGUCACGAUCCAAAAUGGGUGUGAUGACACUUGUCUUAUCCCAUCAGGACAAGUCAGUCUGAAACCCAAUAUCUAACAAAGUGGGGAAACAAAUAACAAUCCAACAACAGUUUCUAUUAUGAAAACAAGUCAACUUAAUUCUUCAAUCCCCAAAAUCAGGUUGUCACGUGCACAAGCCUCUAAUGAAAUAUUAGAAUUGAAAUAAAUUAUGAGUCUAAAAUGAAAUUGUCUUUCAAGUAAAACAAAGUCAUAAACUGGAGUAUGAAAGUUUGCUGAGAUGACAAACAGCUCUCCUCACAAUCCUCCACAAGAUGCCUCGAAAACGAAGAGACUGAGAGGUAUCACGAAGAUCUUGGCUCGUAACCUACAAAAAUUUGUAAAAGCAAGGGGUGAGUACCAAAUCAAGCGGUAUCCAAUAAGCAAACCUUUAAAUACAAGUUAAGUGAACCAAAUACGGGUACUCCUUACACCCUAUCAGAACCUCCACCCUACAGUAUAACAAUUCACAGUUUACCAAGCACACAACUCAACACCCACACUCUAUCAGCUUACAUAUUCUCAAUAAAAACUCAAUAUUCAACAGUCUAGAAAAACACUCAUAAUAUCAUCAAAAACGUGUUCAAGUUCAUCACUAAUAAAAAUAUUUAAUGGCAUGAGAUGCAAUGUCAAGUAUAGUGAUGCAUGUCUUUCCUAAUGAUACACACCCGUUGUCUCUCAGUCUGGGACCCAUGGGGGACAUAUUUGUCUAUGCAUCUGUCGCGGUGCAUGACACGACCCUCGAUAAUAGUAACCGUUGCGGCGAGCGAUACGUCCCUCGAAAUAUAAUAUCCAUCACAACGCACGAUACGACCCUUGAAAUGGUACAUUCUCUUAUCACAAUCAUGUCUCAAAUACAAUGCAAAUGACAUGCUCAAAUGAAAAAUGAGGAGAUAAUCAUUUUGAUAACAAAGCACAAUUUACAACACAGAAUACAACACCAACAAAUAAGCAACAAGUCUCCAAAUCAUUCUCAAUACCACACAAGGAAAUACACGAAUUUCAUACGCUUAACAAGGGUUUAGAAAUCCACUUGCCUCUAUUAAUCAACAAUUCACUCCGGGACUUGAGCCUUCCCUUUCCGUUGAGCUUCUAAAUUAAUGCAAUCUAUUCAAGUACAUAAACACAAUAAGAUUUUGAAACUAAUAACACCCAUAUUAGUAUAAGUUUCCUAAGUUUCAAGCCUAAGGUUAAGUUUCAACUUCUCCAAUAUCACCAUUCUAAUAGUGUUCAUGUAAUAUAGUAUAUUCAAUGCUUAAUUCUAUCCAAAGAAAAACAAAACAAUUCUAACAUCUUUUUAUGUUAAUAGAUAAUUAUAUUAUAUUUCGACCCUCAAAUUACGGCCUAUACUUGAUCCAUAGCCAAUGACAAUGUAUAAUAAUACCUCAAGAAUUUCGUGACUUGUUCUAACUGGAAAUCGUAGUGUAGAUUGUAUUGAAUAUAUAUAUAUAUAUAUAACUACUAACCAUUCAGUUCCAUAAGCGACCAAUAGAUCUAAAAUAUAUUAGAAUAAUUAUUACACUGUUUCUUGUCUCUAAUUUUAUCGAAAACUUUCGGAUCGAUGCAAAGCAUCAUGGAAAUCAUCACUGACACACUUAAUUAUAAAUGUCACUAUAAUAAUUUAAUCAUAAUAAUAAAAUAAUGGAUAGGCUCAUAGGAAAUCAAAUAACUAAUCACAUUUUCUACAGGGACUAUUGUUGAUAACUACAUAUUUUCCUUCAUUCCACCUCACUGUUCACCCCAUUAAUGAGUUUUGUCCUUUUCCCCUUUUCAAUAUUCCAACAAUCAAUCUUAAGUUAUCAAUAAUCAGACAUCCAACUAAUAUAUUAAUUAUAUAAAAAGGGAAGAAACUCGGCUACUUUACGUCUUGAUUCACUAAGUUUUCCUUUGUUUGUUUUCUCCGCCAUCAAUUCUUUCGAUAGCAACCACGUUCUCCUCUUCUUAUUCUUUUUUUUUAGUUAUGACCCAUAUGUUAACCCCAAAUAAUGUAAUUCACUUUAACCCAUGUUGUGUAGAUUAUAUUUAAUGAUAAAUUUAGUUCAUUAACUAUCCAAUAGUUAACUCAAGUAACACUAGUAUUCAUAAUUUCCAAAAAAAAAUAUUCCGGGUCAUUACAUUAUCCACCACUAAAAAUCAUGUUCGUCCUCGAGCAUAAGGUGAAAGAAAGUACAUGAAGCUUAAAAAAGUUGUGAAUAUCUAGAACGCAGACUCUGUCUCCCAAGUUGUCUCUCCCACAGAUCGGUGCUUCCACUGCACCUUCACUGAAGCAAUCUCCUUGGUUCUAAGCUUUCGAACAUGCCUAUCCAAAAUAGUUAUAGGCUCCUCCUCAAAUGUCAACUCUGGACCCAACUCCACAGAAUCAAGUAAAAGCACAUGAGAUUCAUCCGUAAUGUACUUCCGAAGCAUAGAGACAUGAAAAAUAGGAUGAACUGCAGGCAAACUAAGUGGCAAGGCUAACUUAUAGGCCACCUUUCCCACUCGGCUUAAAAUCUCAAAAGGUCCAAUGAAUCUAGGACUAAGUCUGCCCUUCUUUCCGAACCUCAUCACACUCUUUAUGGGUGAUACUCGAAGCAAAACAUGAUCACCCUUCAUAAAUACUAAGGCUCUAACUCUUCGAUCUGCAUAACUCUUCUGUCGACUCUGAGCUGUCAACAGUCUAUACUGAAUCAUACAAAAUUUAUCCAUAGCAACUCUAAGCAAGUCUGUAUCCAAAGAGUCCAUCUCCGCUGAAUCAAACCAACCAAUAUGAGGGGCCAUCUGGAUACUAGAGUGAUAACUGUUAUUGUAGGCAAACUCUGCUAAGGGUAAAUGUUGAUCCCAUCUAUCAUCGAAAUUGAUCGCACAUGCUCGAAGCAUAUCUUCCAACACCUGAAUCGUGCGCUCAGACUAACUAUCUAUCUGAGGGUGAAAGGAUGUACUCAUAUCUAACUGAGUAACCAGACCAUGUUGUAAUGCCUUCCAGAAGUAAGAAGUAAAUAGUGAACCUCGAUUUGAUAUGAUAGAAAUAGAAACUCCAUGUAGUCGCACAAUCUGACUGAUAUAUAGCUCAACUAACUUUUUGCCGUAUACUUCACCCGAACUGGAAUAAAGUGGGCAGACUUGUUCAGCCUAUCAACAACAACCCAAAUAGAGUCAUAACCACCCACUGUGGUAGGCAAACCCACAACAAAGUCCAUAGUAAUCCACUCCCACUUCCAAGUAGGAAUAUGCAUCUUCUGAGAUACACCGCCGAGCCGCUGGUGCUCACACUUGACCUGCUGGCAAGUCAAACACCUCGAAACAAAGUCUGAAAUAUCCAUCUUCAUUCCAUACCACAAGUAAUGAUGACUCAGAUCAUGAUACAUCCUCGCCUUUCCCGGAUGGAUGGAAUAUCGAGAACAAUGAGCCUCCUCAAGAAUUAAUCUAAUCAAAUCGCCCAUCUUGGGCACACAAAUCCUGCCUUCGAUCCUCAAGACACCAUCAAAAUCAAGGACAACCUCUUUAGUUUUUUCUCUCAAUACUUUGUCUCGAAUGAGACAUAACUUCUCAUCAUCAAACUGGUGUGCACGGAUCUACUCGACUAAAGAAGACCGAUCCUCAAUAAAAGCAAUCAUCCCAUAACUCUCUUCUAAAAUCUACAAGCGGACAAAACUGUUAGCUAAUAUCUGUACAUCUCUAGCCGAUGGUCUCUCCUCAAUACUAAGCGAUGUAAGACUCCCCAUGCUAGGAGUCUUCCUACUCAGAGCAUCAGCCACAACAUUGACCUUCCCCGUAGAUACAAGAUGGUCACAUCAUAGUCUUUCAACAACUCAAGCCAUCUCCGUUGCCUCAAGUUCAAAUCCUUCUGACUAAAGAUAUACUGAAUAUUUUGAUGAUCAGUGAAGAUCUUAGAAUGCACCCCAUAAAAAUAAUGACGCCAUAACUUAAGUACAAAUAUCACAGGCGCCAACUCCAAAUCAUAAGUAGGGUAGUUCUUCUCAUGGGACUUCAACUUUCUUGAAGCAUAAGAAAUCACUUUCCCCUUCCGCAUCAACACACUGCCCAACCCAAAUCCUGAAGCAUCACAAUACACAGUAAUGUCUAGACCCUCCUCAGGUAGAGUCAAAAUAGGAGCCGAAGUCAACAAAAUCUUGAGCUUUUUAAAGCUCUUCUCACACUCAUCAGACCACUGAAAAUCCCAAAUCCUGUCGAGUCAAUCUAGUCAAUGGAGCUGCAAUAGUAGAUAAACUCUGAACAAAUCGUCGAUAAUAGCCUGCCAAUCCCACAAAACUCCAAAUCUCAGUAGGUGAAGUAGGCCGCGUCCAUCCUCUAACUGCCUCAAUGUUUUCCGGAUCUACUCUAAUACCUUCCUUGGACACCACGUGUCCCACGAAUGUCACAAAAGUAAGCCAAAACUCACACUUUGAGAACUUGGCAUAUAACUUCUUUUCUGUCAACCUCUAAAAUACAAUCUUAAAGUGUCUAACAUGGUCUUCCUCAGUCUUGGAUUAAACCAAGACGUCAUUGAUGAAAACAAUCACAAAAGAAUCAAGGUAUGGUCAAAACACCCCAUUCAUCAACUCCAUGAAUGUUGCAGGGGCAUUAGUCAAUUCGAAGGACAUCACUAGGAACUCAUAAUGCCAUACGGGGUCUAAAAAGUUGUCUUAGGGAUACUUGAUGCUCUAAUCUUCAACUGAUGAUACCCAAACCUCAAAUCAAUCUUAGAGAACAAUGAUGCUACCUGUAGCUGAUCAAAUAAGUCAUUAAUACGUGGAAGAGGAUACUUAUUCUUCACCGUUACCUUGUUUAACUGUCUGUAAUCAAUACACAUCCUCAUAGUCCAUCCUUCUUCUUCACAAAUAAUACAGGGGCACCCUUAGGUGAUACACUAGGGCGAAUAAAACCCUUACUUAAUAAAUCUUGCAAUUGAUCCUUCAACUCUUUCAACUCUGUUGGAGCCAUACGAUAGGGAGGGAUAGAAAUUGUCUUAGUGAUCGGCUCCAAAUCAAUAGAAAAAUCAAUAUUCCUAUCGGGAGGAGCACUUAGAAGAUCAGAGGGAAAUACAUCGGGAAACUCUUGAACCACGGGAACAGAGUUCAUGGGAGAUGGUUCAACACUAGUAUCCCGAAUAAAAUCUACGUAAGACAAACACCCUCUCUCCACCAAUCUCCAAGCACGGAUAAAAAAGAUGACCAUUUUAGGAUAAGAACCAUUAACACCCUUCCACUCAACCCUCGAAACACCAAGCAUCGCUAGAGUCACAGUCUUAACAUUACAAUCAAGGACAACAUGAUAAGGAGAAAUCCAAUUUAUACCCAAGAUAACAUCAAAGUCUAUCAUCCCCAGAAUGAUUAAGUCUACCCAAGUGUCAUACCCAGCCAAAGAAACAAGACAGGAUCGAUACACUUGAUCCACCACUAAGGGCUCACCUACGGGUGUAGAAACACGAAUAGGUACACUCAUGCUAUCACAUAUUAUAUUAAAUUCAGCAGCAAAUAAUAGGUUGACACAUAAGAGAAUGUAGACCCUGGAUCAAACAACACAGACGCAGGUCAAUGGCAUAUGGGGAUGAUACAUGUAAUAACAACAUCAGAGGUCUCCGCCGCAGUUCUCCCUAGGAAAGCAUAACAGUGGCCCCCUCUUCCACCUCUAGCCUGGGUGGUUCCUCUACCCCCACUCUGCUGAGCUGCAACACCUUUACUAGAAACUCCACUACCUCUACCUAACUAAACUCUAUCAUGACCUCUACCCUGCAGUGCCGGUGACCUAGUUUGAAAUGAAGAGAUAGGAUGGGCCCCACCACGACCCCUAUGAGAAGUACACUGCCGCAUCAGGUUAUCAGGAUCUCCACAAGUAAAGCAAAAUCUUUGUUUAAGGAACUACUGUGUGGACCCUAAAAACCCACUAUAACUAUCUCGACCUAUAGAUCGAUGUUGUGAACCGUACGAGCCCAGACCCGGUCUAUAAGAACCCCUAGAUGUCGAACCACCUUCGAAUGUCGGCAUAGAUGCAUGAAUGGGUCCCCACUGCUGAAAGAAACCAUUCCCUCUUUGUGAUCCCCUAACUCCAGAUGAGGCACCAUGAAAUUGACUUGAUGUACGGGCCUUUUUAGGGUCCCCAACUCCUCUCUCUCCAUCAAUUCUGCCUCUUUGGCGUCCCUCACAAUGGACUGGAAAAAAGCCCCCUUUCUAGAUGUCCGGAACACAGCUGACCUGAUAGAGAAAGUCAAUCUCCUCAUAAAUUUGUGGAUCCUCUUUGUCUCAUCAGAAAUAAUAGUCAACGCAUGCCUAAAAAACUGGCUAAAACAUGCAUCAUACUCUGUAAUAGGUAAACCAUCCCGUGUCAGAUUUUCAAACCUCAAGUGACUCUCCCGUGUCACGCUCCAAGGGAUAAAUCGAUCAUGGAAUGCACUAGAAAACUUCUCCCAAGUCAUUGGAGGAUAUCCAACUGGAAAAGCCCCCAAAUAAGUCAUCCACCACUCUCUUGCUGGCCCACGAAGUUGGAGUGUAGCAUAUCAAACCCCAUGUGACUCAGCUAAUCCAACCACCUCUAGUAACUCUCAGCAUGUAGUCAGAAACUCAUGAGCGUCCUCGCUCUUCCCACCCUGAAACUGAGGUGGGUCCAUCUUUCAAAAUCUCUCAUAGCUACGCUGAUCAUCCUCUGUCAGAACAAACACUGGUGCAACUUAACCCCCAACUGUUGGUGCAACAUCAUUUUGAACCGUGGGAUCCACUGUUAGCUGCCCCACUGCAUCCUGAACAACUGGAUCUUGCUAGUGCUCUUAGGUCUAAGUAAAGCCCUCCAACACACUUAACACCCUCAAUAAUGUAUCCUGAAGCAAAGGUGUGACUGCGGGCUCUAGAGAAACCUGAUCCUCUCUAUCAUCAAUCUGAGGCUUUGUAAAGACCUCUCUAGAACGACCUCUCACUGGUGCUGCUCCACGAACACGACCUCUGGCUAGUAUCGUACCACGAGCACGACCUCUAGCUUGAGCUCUACCACUAACCCUAGAUGGGGCCUCCACAACUACCUCGAGAAGUGCCUCCCCUCUACCACCAGUAACAUUAGCUCUAGUCCUCGUCAUCUGUCAAAAGAGUAUACAAAAACUCAGUACUAAAGAAGGUAACCACGCACGAUGAGAAAGAAUGAAAAAAAGGAAAUUUUCUAAUAGUCUUUAUGGCCUCUCAGAUAUAAGUAUAGACGUCUCCAUACUAAUCCUUAAGACUUUACGUAGACUCGGCUCAUAUACACGUGAGACCUAUGAACCCGGGGCUCUGAUACCAAUUUGUCACGACCCAAAAAUGGGUGUGAUGACACUUGAUUUAUCCUACCAAGACAAGUCAGCCUAAAACGUAUCUAACAAAGUGCGGAAAUAAACAACAAUCCAACAACAUUUUCUAUUAUGAAAACAAGUCAACUUAAUUCUUCAAUCCCCAAAAUCAGGUUGUCACGUGCACAAGCCUCUAAUGUAAAUAUUAGAAUUGAAAUAAAAUAUGAGUCUAAAGUGAAAUUGUCUUUCAAGUAAAAACAAGUUCAUAAACUGGAGUAUGAAAGUUCGAUAAGAUGACAAGCAGCUACCUCACAAUUCUCCACAAUAUAUCUCGGAAACGAAGAGAAAGGGAGGUAUCACGAAGAUUCAAGCUCAAAACGUACAAAAAUUUGUAGAAGCAAGGGGUGAGUACCAAAUCACGCGGUACCCAUCAAGCAAACCUCCAAACACAAGUUAAGUGAACAAAUACAGGUACUCCUUACACCCUAUCGGAACCUCCACCCUACAGUCUAACAAUUCACAGUUUACCAAGCACACAACUCAACAACCACACUUUAUCAGUUUACAUAUUGUCGAUAACAACUCAAUAUUUAUCUGUCUCAUGUUUUAUAGAAAAACACUCACAAUAUCAGCAAAACACGUGUUUAAGUUCAUCAAUAAUAAAAAUGUGUAAUGCCAUGAGAUGCAAUAUCAAGAAUAGUGAUGCAUGUCUUUCCUAAUGAUACACAACCGUUGUCUCUUAGUCUGGAACUCAUGGAGGACAUAUCUGUCCAUGCAUUCGUGCGGCGUACGACAAGACCCUCGAUAAUAGUAACCGUCGCGGUGAGCGAUACGUCCCUCGAAAUAUAAUAUUCAUCGUGGCGCGCGAUACGACCCUCGAAAUGGUACAUCCUCUUAUAACAACCAUGUCUCAAAUACAAUCCAAAUGACAUGCUCAAAUGAAAAAUGAGGAGAUAACUAUUUUGAUACCAAAGCACAAUUUACAACAUAGAAUACAACACCAACAAAUAAGCAACAAGUCUUUAAAUCAUUCUCAACACCACAAAAGGAUAUACACGAAUUUCAUACACUUAACAAGGGUUUAGAAAACUACUUGCCUCAAUUAAUCAACAAUUCACUCCGGGACUUGAGUCUUCCCUUUCCGUUGAGCUGCUAAAUUAAUGCAAUCUAUUCAAGUAUAUAAACACAAUAAUAUUUCGAAACUAAUAACACCCAUAUUAGUAUAAGUUUUCUAAGUUUCAAGCCUAAGAUUAAGCUUCAACUUUUCCAAUAUCACCAUUCUAAUAGUGUUCGUGUAAUAUAGUAUAUUCAAUACUUAAUUCUAUCCAAAGAAAAAAAAACAAUUCCGACACCUUUUUAUGUGAAAAGAUAAUUAUAUUAUAUUCUGACCCUGAAUUUAUAUCCUAUGCUUAGUCUAUAACCAAUGAAUAUGUAUAAUAAUACCUCAAGAAUUUCGUGACUUAAUCUAACUAAAAACUGUAGUGCAUAUUGUAUUGAAAAUAUAUACAUGACCAUUCAGUUCCAUAAACGACCAGUUGAUCCAAAAUAUAUUAUAAUAAUAAUUACACUGUUUCUUGUCUCCAAUUUUAUCGAAAACUUACAGAUUGAUGGAAAUCAUCACUAACACACUUACUUUAUUAUAAAUGUCCCUAUACUAAUUUAAUUAUAACAAUAAAAUAACGGAUAGGUUCUUAGGAAAUUAAAUAACUAAUCAAAUUUUCUACAGAGACUAUUGUUCAUAACUACAUAUUUUCCUUCAUUCCACCUCACUGUUCGCCACAUUAAUGAGUUUUUCCUUUUCCCCUUUUCAAUAUUCCAACAAUCAAUCUUAAGUUAUCAAUAAUCAGACAUCCAACUAACAUAUUAAUUAUAUAGAAAGGGAAGUAACUCGAGUAGUUUACCUCUUGAUUCACUAUGUUUUUCGUUAUUUGUUUUCUCCACCGACAGUUCUUUAGAUAGCAACCCAUGGUGUAUAGAGUAUUAUUUGAUGACAAAUUUAUUUAAUUAACUAUCUAUUAGUUAACUGAAGUUACACUUGUAUUCAUAAUUUCCAAAAAGAAUAUUCUGGGUCAUUACAGUUUUAGAGUUAAGGUAUGGUUGUCAAAAUGGAUUCGAUAUGCAAUCCAUAUUUUUAUGUAAUUAUGUAUAUUUUGCAUUGUUAUGAAUUUUAUUUUACUUUUGUUAUUGUGUUAUUAUACUUUUAAGUGCUAUUUAAUUGACAAAACUUCUAUUAAUACAUGAUAAGUUUGAUAAUAUUUGAAUAGUUUAUGCAAAAUAUAUUUUUGUUUAAAUAGAAGUAAUUUAAAUAAAUACAUAAUGUAACUAAUACUCUCUCUCUCUCUCUCUAUAUAUAUAUAUAUAUAUAUAUACAUACAUAUACAUAUUCACAUAUAUUCGUGGAACUCACGUGCAAAACAUGUGUUGAUAACUAGUAUUAUUAUAAGAGGGAAGCAAAAAAGUUAAAAGUUGAAUUAAAAUUUUACCCUUAUUAUAAAUUAAAAUGUUAUAAAAAUAUUUAGCUAUUUAAUUUAAAUACUAAAUUACAUUUUUAAUAAAAAUGUUGAUGACUUUUGCACUUCUUUAGAAUAAUACUUAAAUAAAAUACCUAAUUUAAUUUAUUUUCUUGAAAUUAUUUAAAAUAUUAUUUUUUUCAUUUAAUAUUUAUUUCGGGAUUCAAUGAAUUUUGACUGUUCGUAUUAUGCAUCAUUAAAAUUGAAUUACAAUUUUACCUGUAUGUUAAUUAAAAAAAGUUAUACUAAAUUCAAAUGUUAUUAAAUAUUUAAUUAAUUAAACAGUAAAUAGUAGAAUUUCGAUAAUAUUUUUAGUUGGUAUACAUGUGAGUUAAAUAGAAAAAGAAAUGUUAUCCAUUUAAAUAGAUACACGUAUAUGAUUUAUCUUUUAAAUUAAUUUACGUUCUUAAUUAAGAUUUGUCUUUAGUUUUUGUAAUAGUUGACCUUUCAACUUUGUAAGUGAAUCUUCAUAUUUCAAAGCUAUAUUUUUUUCCUAUAAAUACAAAUCAUUUAACAUUAGUUCUCAUAGAAAUAUUUAUAUGUCAUACAAUUUUUGUGUGUGGAAGAAUAGAGAAGUUUUAAUCAAGUGAAGAAAAUUUCAAGGCAAAAAAAUUUGUGUCAAGAUUAUAAGGCAUAAUGUGAUUAUAGAGAUGAAUAAAACUUUAAUUACUAGAAUAUUGAAGAUUGAUGUAACUGUUUUUUUUACUUAUUUGUUGAGAUCAGAACUAUGAUAAAACCCCUCCAUUUAUGUAGUUGAAUAUCACUUUCAUUAAUUUGUCUUCCAAAGAUUUUAACUUUUUUUUUAUGGUCAAAAGUUGAAUGUUUAUUACUAUAACUUGUUUCAAUUUGCAUUAUCAAUAGAAAAAUACUUUUUUUUUUUAUGUAAUUUUGUUUUAAGAAUAUAUUUGAUUGAAGGGUGUAUUUUUUGCUUUAGGAAAUGAGACAAAUACAAUCAUACAAAAAGAUUAUGAGACAUGUAAAACAACUAACGCCUACAAGAUAUUCUAAUUUAAAAUUAUUAAUAAUUACAUUUUUGCAUCUUAAAUUUUAAAUAUUUGUAAAGAAUCAUUCUUACAUGAUAUACCAAAAUGCUUAAGAAGUUAGAAGAUCCUUUAUCCUUUGACCAAAUAUUGUUCCUAUUAAUUUUUUAACAAAAAAAUGUAAAAUAUAUUUUGACAAACUUUUAACUGUAAGAAUUCUAAUAGUGUCAUUUUGGCUCUCCAUUAAAUUAAAAUAUGAUUUAUUUAAUUAAAUAUUAAUGUUUUAUUGGUAUAAUUACAUAAUUUGUAUACCAAUGAUUGCACUUUGAAUCUUUAGUUAUUUCCUUCUAAUAAAUUACUUAUUUAUAAAUUUGAAUUACUUAAUUGCAUUAUACUUAAUGAGAAGGAGAAUUUCAUCUUUUACUAAUUAAUGUCAAAUAUUUUAUCUUCUUGAAAUGUAUGUCGAGUGUAACUAUACACUACAAAUACUUUUUUAAAAGUUAAAUCGCGCAUUGUCCUUUUAUUAAUAAGUUUUUAUACUAAAAAACGUUUAUCAAUUUAUUUUUCCUAUUUUUAUCGUAACUCAAAUAUUAUUUUAAAAAAUUUUGUGAUUUUUUAUUAGUUCAUAUUCAUCGUUGUGAAGUAAACGUGGAACGCACGUGCUCAUAUACUAAUAAAGAAAAAAAUAAGAUAAUAAUUAUUUUUUUAAAAUGUGAUGAUGAUCGGAAUAAUAUUAUUUUGUGACAACACAAAUUUGUCAUUGAUUUUAUAUCUAUGGUAUGACAAGGUAAAGAAGAAAACAUAUCUUGCCCGUAAUAAAUUUGAGCAUGACAAUAAUAAUAUUAUUUUCUCCCAUACAAAUGAUGUCAUGGAUUACUUGAUGUAGUUCACAAAAUUAAUUGUAAGUUCUAAAAAGAUAUUGUGUUACUAUCGGAGAAAUAAUAUUGAUAUUGUAGCAAGUCUCAAAAAAAUAAUUUAACUUUCAAAAGAUUAAAAGGAAAUUAUUAUAUUGAGACUAUAAAUUAUAAAAAGAUUUAAGAUCUUCAUAUCACUACAGUCAAAGUGGAUUAUAAAAAUGUAUGUGAAAGGUUGCCUACUUUUUCCUCUUGUUUGUUGUAAACAAACAUGAGCAUGAUGAUGGAAUCACAUACAAUAAACUAAAAAUUUAUUGGAAUAAGGAUCAGUACUAAUUGACCAAUUUGGUUCGAAUGUGAAGCAAAAAUAAUUGAGAGUUCAUAUAGUUAUAUAUUGAAGAAAUAUAAAGUUCUUCAUGAACUCUCGUGUGUUUCUUGUUCUCGUGAUAUAUUAAUCAAUACAAGCUAAAGUUCGGAUGUGUCCCAUAAUUUUUGGAACAUAGGAAAAGAUGAGUAUGAAAUUGUUCACCUAUCAUGUGGAUCAUCUUUAGUUAUAUAAUUUUAUAGUAGCAUUUAUGAUAUGGUCAUAUGUGCUUUGCUAUCAACUUAGAAAUUGAUUUUUUGAAGUUUGGUUUAUCGAAUUGUUAAAUUAAGAGUACAGUUUUAAAGUAUAAAAUUGCAUUGAUAAUAAAUGUUGAUUUAGCAGAUAUUGUAUGUCUCCAAUUGUAGCUAAACAAUUAGUUAUGAGAACAAAUCUUUUAAUAUAAAUUUGGUAUGAGAUAAACUUAUUUAACAUGUAACAACACUUGUACGCAUCAAGCCAAAUUGGUGGAGGAAUCAAAUAAUUUAUAUCUAAAACUUUGAAUGUGCGAUUAUGAUUUAAUACUCCACCACACGCAUAAAGAUGAAUCCCCAAUAAGACUCGGAUGAAUGUUAGAUAUCCUAACAUUUGGGAGAGAGAUAAUUGACAACUUAAAAUUAUGUGAGAGAUGAAUUAUGGAUAACUAGAUCCUCCUUAAAGAAAAGCGGAACUUGAAGUUUAAUUUAUUUGUGUUAUGUUGCAAACCAAUUGUCAAAUGAAUUUACUAACCUUAUAUUAUAAUUCAGUUGUAAAUAAUCCAAUGAAAAUAAUUAUAGGACAAAGUCUAUCGUACGUCUAAAGCGUGAAUCAAUCAAUUUCGAAUAUAAAACUCCCCAACAAAAGGAGAGUAUCAAAUUAUCAAGAUGGACAAAAUAAUGAGGGAAGUGCAUUAAAGGAUCACAAAGACAUACAUUUCAUAAACUAUUGUCAAAGGUUUAGGUACCUGAAAUGAUUAAAAUGAAAAGAUAUCAAUAAAUUAUGUCAUGUUGAACAAUAUCAAAUAAUUCUCUAUGGACGGAUAAAUAAUUGACAAAUAAAAUGGAUACUUCAAAUAUAUUUUAUUUCACUUAGAGAAGUGACAUUUUGGACUAAUAGUUCAUGACUCAAUGCAUAAGAUAAGUAACAUUUUGGGCUGAUAGCUCAUGAAUCAAUGCAUAAUAUAAGUGGGGUAUAGACAAAUUACUAUGUGAUGUGUAACCAUAACAUAUUAAUACUACUUUGCCCUUGGAGAAUAAAAGUUUUUUCACAAAAAUCGUGACAUUAUUGGAGAUGUUUUAUAAUUUGAUGGAUGCAAUAAAGUUUGUUUUUGAUUUGACAAUAACUUAAAUUAAUAUAAUGAAUAAUUGUUAUGUCUAGCUAAGCAGUGAAGGCUAUAUAAUAUUCCUUGGAGCAUUUCAGGUUCUUGAUGCAUAUAAAGUUUGAAAAAAACUUUUUAAAUAAAACUUCAAGUAAUCUUAUUUGGAUUGAAAUAAUCAAGGAAAAAGGGGUACAAAAUGACCCUAUUUUUCCUUCCUUAUGUGUGUGUGUGUGUGUGUGUGUAUAUAUAUAUAUAUAUAUAUAUAUAUAUAUAUAUAGAGAGAGAGAGAGAGAGAGAGAGAGAGAGAGAGAUGGAUGUUGAUGACUUGAAUAUUGUUAGCACUCUUAAAAAGGUUUCAAAAGUUGUUGAGUCUUUGAAAAGAGAUUCUAAAAUGAAAAGGUCUUGGUAACAUAUGAUUGAGAAUCUGACAAAUGAAAUAUUUAUUCAUCAAUCAACAUACAUAGAAAGACUUUAUGCUAUUUUACAUAAGUAGAUCACAUUCAUUGAGUACCCCAAUGAUUAUGAGAUCGCUUGAGAUAAAUAAAAAUUUAUUUCGAUCUCAACAAAAUGAUGAAGAACUUCUUAUUGAUGAAACUCUAUAUAUAAGUUAAUUUCGGCACUAAUGAGCCUUGCUGUAUAUGAUCAAAUAUUUUGCAAGUUUAUUGACAAGAUUCUUCUCCUCCCCAAUGAGAUGACAUUGAAAUGACAUCAAGAACACUUAUGAAGUUAUUCUACAAGAAAAUCAAUGGUAUGAAAAAGUGUACACAAGAUGAUUGUUGUUAUUAACAAAUUUAAUGAGAAAUUUACUUGACUUUCAAAAACUCUAACCUAGAUCUACGAUUUCCUUUCUGCCGUCAGUAGGACUCCCAUGGUACAUAGGUUUGACUUGUAAAACAAGUUCUUACACAUAUUUCUGCACUAUCCUCUUCCUUUUAGUUUUCCAAUAUUCGAUGUGUUACAAGAAAUCUAUCAAUAAAGAAACUCCAAUAAAUAAUGUUGAUAUGCCAGAUAGAAAAAUGUCAUGAUUAUUAUAGCAUGAAAACAGACAGGCUCUCUAUGUAGGGCUAUAUCUUGAAUACUUUAGUGAAUGACUUAUGUAGUAUGAAAACAAAUACACUUUCUCUAUAUCUUGAGUGCUUUAAUAAAUGACUUAUAUAAUGUCCAUAACACAUUAAGAAUUUCAAAAUAAUUAUGGAGUGCACUUAAGAAAAACUAUAGGACUGAAAAUGCGUGCUUGAAAAAAUUUGUGGUUGCAAAAUUUUUAGUAUAAACUGAUAGAUAUCUAAACUGUUGGAUCACAAGUUCAAAAGCUUCAACUUAUUUUUCAUAAUGUUAUUACUAAUAAUAUAGAGGUUAAUGAAGCAUUUCAAGUAGCUGCGAUGAUUGAAAAGUUAUAUCCUCUGUAGAACGACUUCAAUGAUUAUCUAAAGUACAAACACAAAGAGAUGAAACUUAAAGAUUUAAUGAUUCGUCUUAAAAUUGAGGAAUACAAUUGUAACGACCCGAAUCGUCGUUAAUUAGGAGAGAUAAAUAUCUAGGGAAUUUUGGGUCACUGUCCCACUAUAACAGGCCAGAUGCCGCUAGGGCGGGAUAGGCGAGACAGAACGUUAAUGACGAGAAAUCCUAGUCUCUUUAUAUUCCUAAAAUACCCAAUUAAAUCGUAAAACAGCCUAAAAACCUUAGAAAAGCUACUCUAAGCUUGGAAAGAAAGGAUACAGAGAUUUCUAGUGUGAGGAUGGAUAUCCUGUGGAUUCUUGGUCAAAUUCACUAUCAGGAAGCCGAAAAAACCAGAAUCAAGGUAAAAAACUUUGUGGAACUGCUUGGCGCCCAAUUAGGCUAGGAUUUAUGAAUUGAAUAAUUCAAAUCUAUGCUUAUUGUGUAAUAUAUAUGAAUGGAUUGUAGGAUUUAUGUGUAGGCCUUCGUGCACAUAAUGAUUUAUGAUUUGAACCGUCGAAAGCCUUAGACGAUGAAUUAGGACUGAGUAUGGUCAAAUUAGGGUUUGCAGGAGGUGCGUGAUGAGAAACCCCUUUGGUAGAUGAUGGUUGUGAUUCUAUGAUUGUGUGAUAUAUUCUUGUUAUUGGUUUAUUAUGAUGCAUGUAUGUAUGUGAAUGUUGCAUUUGACUGUAAAUGAUAUAGAUGAGUAAUUUAUAUGCAUGAAUCACUUCUUGAUUGUAUGAUUAUUGAGAAUAUACUUGUGAAUGUUAUUUUGGUGUUUUGAUGGAUCGAUUUGCCAUGAUCCGGCAUAACUAACUAGAUCGGUUGGCACAUUCAAGCAUAAAAAUGAGAUCGGCCUUCCACGUUAUGACAUAAGUAUGGGAUCGAAUAUCUCAUUCUGGUGCACUAAUAGUUUGGGUUUGGGUUUCAUGAGAGGACCAACUUCUUGACAUAAUUAUGAUAAUUCAGAGUUGUAAAAUACGUUGUUGCUCUUUAUGGUGAUGCUAUUGUAUAUGUUCUAUUUCUGCAUACGAUGUUAUGAUUUUGUUGAAUCAUAUAUGUUGCACUUAGUUAUUAUAUGUUGUGAUGGUUUAUGUUUGAUAGUGUUGAACGAACUCGUGGAGUAUAGUGGAAAGGUGAAUGGUUCAAGUGACGGGUAAUGAAUAGCGAGUGUUGUUCGUGUGUUGUAAUUACUAAGGAGAAGUAUAAAUAGCGUACGUGAUGAAAUGUGCUUAGGUGGGUUUCACCUUGGGGAAAGAGAUUGGGUUUAGUGUUAAGGAAGUUUUCGUAGUGUAUAUAUUGACCAUGAUUGAGUAGUGUGACAAAAAAAGUAAGAGUAUAACUUGAGCUCUUAGUUGAAGCGCUCGUUGGAGAACUAGGGUUCGUUCAUAUGUUAGCAUUUUUAUGCUAUGAUCAGAACUGGGUGAGUUAGUUGUUGAGAAGGUGGUUAGUAUUCAGAGUACUAUGUAAAUUAAAGGUGCUCUAAUAAAGGGUAAAGGUGAGGAAGCAAGUGAUUUAAUUCAUGAUCUUACUAGUUGAUUGCUUAUGUUAUGUGGUGGGUGUCACAUUGAUUGAUGAUGCCUACCAAUACGUGUGUUUAUACUGAUACUACUCUUGUUAUGUCUUUUGACAUAGUUAGGGUGCAUGAAUGGUGAAGUUUCAUAAGGUGAAUAUGAAUAAAUUCUCCAGCAACUUCUAUUCUUCCUUCUGCAUGGUAGGCGGUGUGUCUUUUAUGUAACGUCUCAUAACUCGUAAUAGCCAAGAAACUAAAAUUUGUCAUUUGUUUAAAGAAUAAGAAAAAUAUGAAAAUUUUCUGAAGUGUAAAAAGAAUGAGUUUUGGUCAUUUUCAAACGACCAUAACUUAUAGCUAAGGAUGAGUUAGAGUCAGUUCUUUACAUGGUUGGAAAUCCUUGGAGAGAUAUUUCCAACUCCUUUGAGUUUGUGCAUUUUUGAUAUCCUAUGAGGGAUAUAUGCCUAUCAAAAGUUGGGUUGUUGGAUUGAGGAAGGUCCCAAUCCGGAUUUUGGUAAGGGUAAACUUUUCAUUUCACCCAAACAUUCCCUAAUUCAUUUUAAAGGUUUAGUAUAGGCAAAACUAAGCCUUAAAGUUUUAGAAAAUUAUUCAUACUUAGGGUUUGGGAGAAAAGAGAAGAUAAGAUGAAAAAGGGAGAAGUUCAAGGAUUCAUCAAGAACGCCAAGAUAGUCGAGUGAAAUUCAUGAAGGUGAUCCCUAUUAAGGUAUGUGAGAUCUUUCAUUUUUGGUUAAUUCACUCAUACACCAAAUUGUUUAAAUUCAGCAAUCUAUGAGUUGAUUCCAUGUUACAAGUUAUGUUCUUGAAGAAUAGUUUUGAAUUCUUGUUGGUUGCCAUUGUUUGUUGAAAUCCUGUUUCUCCGCAUAAAUUUUGAGUUGAAGGGCAGGUGCGGCACGUCUGCAGUGCACCCAGAUCGGCGUUUUUCUCCCAGUUUUCGUAGUUUAGCCGUCGUAAGUCCUUAUAAGGUACAUUAACAUCUUCCGAUGAGUUUAAUUACUUCAAAUAAUUUCAAAACACCUACAAAUUACUAAAGAACUCAAAUCAUAACCUUGAAUCCAUAAUCUAUUCAAGGAAAGUUAAGAUCAAAGUCAAAGGAGUUAAGUUUCAAGUCUAAAGCUAGGAAGCUAGUCUAAAGCAAAAUUCUAAAAGGUUUUUAAGGGAAUUUAUUAAACUUUUUAACUUCGUUUAAGGCUCAAGUUUCAAAGUUAAAGUGAAGAGUAAAAGUUGAAGACUUUUCUUCAAAUGAAAGUAGAAGGGAACUAAGUUUUCGCUAAAAGUUCAUAAAUGUUUUCACAUUUAAGUGAAGAGGAAACUAUGAUUUCCCAAAAGAGUUUUGAACAAGAAAAGGUAACGUUGAUUCCAAUAGGGAUUUUUAAAGCUAAAAGUGUUGAGCAAAUUAUCUCAAUCCAAAAGAAGGAAGUUAUUUUAAAAGCAUGAGCUAAAGUAUAUUUUGGGAGUAGUAUUGAGCACCGAUGAGGAAUAAGAGGUCAUAUUAACUCAAGUCUAAAUACAAACCAUGCCAUCAUGGGUAAUAAGGGAUCAUACUUUUUAGAUGAUCACAUAAGUUAAGUUAGUAGAUCCACUAAGUUAAGGAGUUAUAUGCGAGAACAAAGUAUAGGACAAUUCUGGCAGCAUGGGCGAGACGUUGUAUCACCACUUAGGCUCAUAGUGGUGGUUUUCGAUUUGAGAAUCUCCCACAUAAACUAUAGUACUUUCAUAUAUAAGUAAAGUUGAGUUUGUUAUUGCAUUUCUUUAACGAACUAAUUUGCUUUACUGAUUCACAAAGCUUUAUAUAUAUUGCACGUGUUUAAUUUGCCUUAUAUAUUGAAUUGAGUAUUAAUGAGUUGAGCAGAGCCAAGAUAAGUUUCUUCUUAUUCCGUUCAAGAUUUAAGUUGUUGUUUAGCAUUACUACUCACAUGCUCUUACAUUCAAUAUACUGAUUUUAAUUGGUCUUCAUCAUCUUAUGAUGUACACGCAGUUAACCAGAAUCAGCAUCUAGCGCAUUGUUGAUCCAAUUUGAGCACUCAGAGUUAGUGGUGAGCUUCCUUGCAUUCCGAAAUAUCCUUUUUAUAUGAUUUUCAUUAUUUUUAUUUAUUAUAAUGUUUUGGUGUCUGUCCCAACAUUCAUUUUAGUGUUAUAGAGGCUUCAUAGAUAGAUAGUCAGUCAGAUAGUCAGAUUUGAGGCUCUCUUUAUUUUGCAUUCAGAUAUUCUAUUUUGAGACUUAAAUGUCAUAUGGCCAAGACAUUAAUCUAAGUUAUUUAUGAUAAAGAUUACUUGUUUUACUAUUGAAUUAAUCUUCCACUGAGUUAAGUAAGCUAGACCAAGGGUUCACUCAAGGCCAAUAACGGUCAUUGGGUGCUGGCCACGUCUAGGGUGUAGGCUGGCGGUGUUACAUUUUAUUUAUCUUGUCCAGUUUUACUCUUAGUAUCUCUUGUACCUUUUUAGACUAUAUCCUUGGGAGUUAUAAAAUUACUUUACAAGUUUUAACUAAAAGUAUGUACAAAAAAAGUUAUUUAUAAAAGUCAUCCUUUUGUAAUUAUCUUUGAUUUCUUUAAUUUUUUUUGCAUGUUUAACUACUUGGAUAUGAGGAUUCUCCUACUUAGGUGUUAAGGGGUGUUGCCCCUACGGUCCAGUGGUUGGGUCGUGACAAAAACAAAAUAUUUGAGAAGAAAUCAUGUGGUCUCUCAAUAGUUAUGGUAGUUAACAUUUGGAAAAUGCUCCUUGUAACACCUCACUUUUUGAAAUAACUAGAAAGACUUGGAUUGGAAAGAAAUAAUUUAUGGAAAUAAUCAAAUUUUGAAGUUUGACAAAGUUAAGCUAAGUAUGAGUUUGGAUUGACUUCAAACAACAAUAACUUCUAGAUCAGGUUGAGUUAGGUGUUCUAUCACAGUUUUGAGUUCGUAUGAGGGAGAUAUGUCUAUUCGAAGUUGUAUUGUCUAGAUAAGAAAAGUCAAAACCCGAUUUUAGAACUGUAUUAUGGUCUUUUCACUAUCCAAUAAUUAAUUUCGUAUGAAGGAGAUAUGUCUAUUCGAAGUUCUUCAUGAUAUUUGAUCCCUAAGAGGUAUGUAAGCUUUCAUAGUGUUGAAUUCUUUCACCCAUAGGCCAAUCAUAUUAAUUUUUGCGUGAAAUUCAUUCAAGAAAGAUGAAGGCUUAAUAUUCUUGAAUUGUUUUCUUGAAAUUGGCUUUCAUUUUUGAGUUAAGAUUAGAUUAGUGAGUUCUUGAGAAAAUCAAGUCAAUUUUAGAGCUGUGAUUGAUUAGAUUCUUGGGUUCAUGUAUUGGGUAUCUGAAUCUAAAGAGAAAUCGAGAAAAAGAAUUGAAUUCAGGAAAAUUGUGGUUAGAAAACAAAGAAGAAAAAGUCGGACAAGGAAAAGGUACUAGGUCCGCAAUUCCUUCAAUAUGAUUAUUCUCUCCACGUCGCGAAGAGGCUACAUUGUUUUAGAAUUUAUUUCGACCAAACAUUUUAAUUCAUCUCCAUAUAACGGACUUGCUCUCUGACAAUGUUUUUCACCUGUUUCUCAUGUUUAACUAUCUAAAAACACUUGUAAAAAUCACGAGAUCUUUCCUGUCACAAAUCACAACUUAAUUCAUGCAUUAAAAGCAAGAUAAUGUUGAGAUACAAGUUUUGAGAGUUUUUCAAUUAUUUUUGAGAAAUUCCCUUUGAAUUUUUUUUUGUAAUUAAGAGUCUUUCAUUUGAUUUAAAACUUUUUAAUUGAGUUUCAUGAAUUUUUAUUCAGUUUUUAUGAUUUGUAUGCUUGAGUUAGUCUUUCACUUGUAGCAAGUCAGUAUGAGGGUUCGCUUGGGGACUAGCAAUGGUUCUCGAGUGUCGGACACGUCUAGGUUGUAGGCUCGGAUCGUGACAAACUUGGUAUCAAAACAUAGAGUUCAAGAGUUAUAGGUUGUCUAUGAAGCUCUUAGCAUGGUCUUGUUUAUGUUUGUGAGGGAGCCAUUUCUAUAAACGAGGGACUCCACACGUUAAAGAAUUUUUUUUUGUUCUUUCAUACUCUGAAUCGUGCAAUAGAGCUAAGUCAUAGAGAUUUAUUUUUACUAAUACAUUUCUCAGAUUCAUUGGGCUACCCAUCAUACUAGAGGUGGUUGAAACGUAAAGUUUAAAGAUCCUUAUGGAUGAGUUGUUCUUAGCAAGAGUCUUGAGAAAGUCAUGAGACUCCAGAGGGGCUUAAGAGAAGCCCAAAAGUAAGUGAAGCGUUCAGUUUCAGAUGAAUGCACCCAUAAUUAUAUGAUUCGUGCAUUUGAUAAAAAGUGAAUUGUACUCUUUUCCAUAAGCCUUUUUUCAACUGAGAACCUUAUUAGUAGGUAUGUUUAUAGCUUGGAUGAUAUUUCCAUACGAAAAAGUAGCAUGUGUUACGAGAUCAUGAGCAGUAUUAGUGAAAGAGCCUAGUGGUAGAGGAAAGUAUGCAGAGGUUUAGUAUUCGUAGAAAGGGAUAUAGUGCUUUGAAGAGCUAUAAUACUAUAGUCAUGAACCCAGUAAGUUAUUAAUAGGAGUUUUCCAUUAUGAGUAGAGUAAGAGUUGCUAGUCAAGAUGUGAUAGAGUAUAUAUUUGUUAACCAGAAUAGAGUUGAUAUCGAUGUGACAUCGUAUUAGAGUAGAUUGAACUCAUGUGUUGAAUAACAAAGCAGAGUAUUUAUGAGUGAUAGGUCUAAUCUAGACCUAUAAUUUGUUUUGAGAGGGUCAUGAUGUUCAAAGUUAAUAGAACUGAUCAAGUAAUGAGGUAUAGUAUAGUAGGUGAGCAAUCAUAUUGAUAUUCGGGUUUAGUAAUAAACAUUAAGUUUGAAUUUGAGAUGAGUGUCAUGAUCAAAAGAAUGGAAAUAUGAGGGUGAUGAUGUUAGUCUUAAGAUUUAAUCUAGAAGGCUUGACAUAAAGUAGGUGAGGUAUUGAGGUGAUAAGCUGCAAUUAACAUGAGUGGUACAAGUAAGAGGCCAACCUUUAGAUAAGGGUGGGGAAGUGUGACUAAGUCACAAUAGUAAGAAGAAACAUUAAGAGGUGUAUUGAGAGGGUGCAUAAUCAAGAGGUUAAAAAAACACCUUAUAUAGGUCAUCGUACCUGCCUUUUGAGAGUUUGAUAGUCAUGAAAUAACUUUUUCCCUAGUGUUAGAGUAAAAGAAGAUGUAGACCAGUUUAGAGUUGAUGGAAUAGGUCCUUAGCUUUCAAGUUUCAUAUUUAGACCUAAGGGGGAGAUAACAAGAUGAUUAAUUAAGUCAAGUGUUUGAGAGUAAGAUAAUAAUGAGUCUGAAAGAGUUUAGGGGAUAUCUUUUUAGAGGUCUUUUUAGUAGUAGAGUUAUUUUAAAAAGAGAAGGUUAACGAUCUUAUCGUGAUAGUGAUAAUGUGUUUAUUCCGUCUAAGGUUAAGUGAUAAUGUGUUUAUUCCGUCUAAGGUUAUCAAUGAGGAGGAAGAAAGAGAUGAGGUUUUCUAUGAGAAAUAGUUAAAUGGGAGCCCUUAGUUGGUUUCGAAUAGUAAUGCGAGCAAUUCUAGCUAGUUUGGCAAAGAUGAUAAGAGUAACCCGUCUCAUACUUAGUCCAACCGCCAUUCGAAUACGAAUGAUUGGGGGGGGGGGCAGAUAUUGUAACACAUCGUGUUUUGAAAGAACUAGAAAUACUUAGAAUUAGAAAGAAAUCAUUUUUUUGGAAAUAAUCAAACUUGGAAUGUUUGACAAAGUUAAGCUAAGUAUGAGUUUUGGAUCAACUUCAAAUGACUGUAACUCCUAGGUAAGGAUGAUUUAGGUGUUAUACUAGAUAUCAUAGGAAACAUAUUUGAAUUAUUUUUAUAACGCCACCAAGUUUGCUCAAUUUUGAGUUCAUAUGAGGGAGAUAUGUCUAUUUGGAGUUGGGUUAUCUAAAUAAGGAAAGUCUAAACUAGAUUUGCAAAAGGGUAUGAUAGUCUUUUCACUACCCAAUUUAUUAAAUUCAUUUUUGGCAAUUAAUUUGGGGAUAAAAUGAUUGGAUUUAUUUUACGCUUCAAAAUAAUAAGUUAGAAUUUUGAGAGAAGAGAAAAUAAGAGGAGAAAAUAAGAGAGGAUCAAGGCGUUCGUCGAGUUUCUUAAGUUUUGUCAUGAAUUUUUGCCAUGUGUUUGCUCCCUAAGAGGUGUGUAAUCUUCGAUAGUAUUGGGUCUGUUCACCCACGUGUCAAUUUAUGUUAAUUUCAGCAUUGAAUUUGUUCUUGAAAGAAAAAAGUUUGAUGUUCUUGAAUUGUGUUCUUGAAAUUGGCUUUAGUUUUUGAGUUAAAAUGAGAUUGAUGAGUUCUUGAGGAAAUCAAGUCGACUUUAGAGAUGUGUUUGAUUAGAUUCAUUGAUACAUGUAUUUAGUAUUUGAUCUAAAGAGAAAUUGACAAAAAGAAUCGAAUUUAGGUUAAUCGGGGUUAGAAAACGAGGAAGAAAAAGUCGGACAAGGAACAUGUACCACUUGCGGACUUGUUCCUUUACUGUGAAGGUCACGGACUCCACUGUUUCAAAAAUUAUUUAGACCAAAUAUUUUAAUUCAUCUCCGCAUCACACACUUUCUCCAAAGACACUGUUUUUUAAUUGUCUCUCAUGUUUAAAUGUCUAAAAGCACUCCUAAACAUCUUUUCUAUCACAAUCACAACUUUGAAUUUAUAAAUCAGAUUUAAGGUAGAGUUGAGAGUCAAGUUUUGAGAGUGCUUUUUUCAAACUUUUUUGAGAAAGUCUCUUUAGGUCUUUUUUAGGAGUCUUUUACAAUUUCUAAUAACAUGUUUCAAGACUUGAGCAAGUAAGUAUGAGAAUGGGGAGAAUGUAUCCAUGAGUCUACUUUCUCAUCACGAGAUCCUUCAUAUCAUGAACCUUAAAUCUUGAAUUCAUAAUUCACAUUCACGAGAGAAUUAAGGGUAGAGUUCAAGAAAGUCUUUAAGUUUAAUUGUGAAUUCUUUGAGAUCAACUAUCGAUUUGAGUUAAGUUUUGAGAAAGGAAUGAGAAGAGUCGGAUACAUGAGUUUCAUAUUAUUUAUGUAGACCCUCGAGUCGAGUCGAGUUGUUCAUGCCCAUAAAUUUUGCAUGAACUUCAUAAUUGAGUACCUUUUAGAGGAGUAGUAUAUUUAAGUUCUAAGUCUUGAGUAUUGAGUUCCCAAUCCUUCUAAGAUUAUAUUUCUAAUUGUGGAACUGUUACAUAUUAUACAUGUUGUCGUUAAGUAGAGUAGUUCAUGCACAUAAUUAUGCAUGAAUCAUAUGAGUCGAGAUCUUGAGAUGAGAAGUAUCAUUGAAAGUUGAAUUAUUCAUGCCCAUAAUUCUGCAUGUACCUUAUGAGUUGAGCAUUCUUCAAAUGAUUAGUAUCAUUGAAGUUCUUGAGUUCUGAAUUGUUGAGUUCUAAGUAUCGAGUUCUUUGUAUGGCUAUGUAAAACCUUGAAUUGAGUUGUUCACGUUCGUCAUUCGGCAUGGACCCUAUUUCGAAAACUCUUUUAACUUCUUCUAAACUUAUUUUAAUACUUGAGCAUUCAUGUUGAGAAAGAGUAUAGUCGAGUCAUUUUUCUUAAAAUAAUAUAUGAGAACUAUGUAUUCCCAAGAGUAAAUAUUUUCACAUUUAAAAGAUGAGGAAAGUGAGAUUCCCAAAAUUGUUUCGAGCAGUUGAGUACCACCUCUUUUUGGAUAAUUUUUUUUAGUAAUAAUCUCAAAUCGUAGAAAGUGUUAUGUUUUUAAGCAUAUGAGUUCAUGAGAGUAGUAUUGAACACUGAUAUGAGGGAGAGUUCAUACAACUCACAUUUAGUUGAGAGGUAUUAUACCUUAACAAAGUAUAGGACAUUUCUGAGAGCGUGGAUGAUACAUUGUAUCAUCACAUAGCUCAUAGUGAUGACUGUUAAUUAGAGAAACUCCUAUGGAGUUGUAUUUUAUUUUAUAUAAACACCGAGUAUUAUUGUAUUUUUCAAUAUGUUGAGUUUCUAUCUACAGUUUUAUAACUUUCCAUAUAUAUUGCAUCUUUUGCUAUUGCUUUAUCCUUAACUAUCAUGAGUUGAGUAUCUUGAUUUGAGUACCUUCGAAUUAAGUAUCCUGUGUUGAGUAUCUUGAGUUGAUUUGUGCUUCAUUGUGUCGAGUACCUUAUUGUUGAGUUUCAGUGAGUUGAGAACCUUAUUAAUAAAUUGAGUAUCUUAUCCUUGAGUGACUCUGAGUUAAGUAAGUUUGAGUAGUUUAAAAUAUCCUUGAGUAUUCCUUGAGUUAAGUAAGUUUGACAAGAGGUAAGUAUGUUUCCUUUUUAUCAAGUUCAAGCUUAUGUCAUGAAUUCCCCUUACAUGCUCGUACAUUUCAUGUUCUAAGUUAUUAAUAGGAGCUUCAUUGAUAUCAUAUGGAGUUCGAGUUAGCUAUGGUGAGCCUCCUUAUUUAUAGAGGGUUUCACUUUUACUUUUAGUUAUAUCAGUUGUUAGGAGGUCACGAAUCUUGUCCCAACUUCCAUCUUUGUCAUUUAGAGGUUUCAUAGAUAGACUAUAGAGUUUCAGAAGUAUGUUCAUUUAUUUAUUAAAUAUUUUAAAGACUUAAGUUACCUAUAUGAUGGCGAGCUGAAUAAAAAUAUUUUUUGUCUUUCAUUUGAGUUAAUACUUUGUAAUUGAGUUUAAUAAAUUUUUAUUCAGCUUUCGAGCAUUUUAUGCUUGAGUUAGUUUCUGUUUGUAGUCAACCAGGAUGAGGGUUCGCUUGGAAACCAGUGAUGGUUCUCGAGUAUUGAUCAUGUCCAGGGUGUAGAUUCGGAUUGUGACACUCUUAUAAAGGGCAAGAAAACAAAGAAGUCCAAUAGACAGAAGAUAGACCAAGCCAAGAAAAAUACCAAAUACAACUACUACAAUUGUGGAAAGACUGCCACAAGGCUACUGACCGUCAUACUCCAAAAAGGUCAAGGACAAUAGCAAGAUUCAAGCAAUCAUGGUGGAGAAAAUGAAGGACAUAGAUGAGCUCUUUGAUAUGAUAUCAGAGUGGAAUUAGGUUGGAAACCCAAAGGAGUAAUUCUCGACUCUAGUGCCCCUUGAUAUAUUUGUUCUAUAAAAGAAGCAUUUGCAAGUUAUACUCUAGUCGAGUUUGAUUAUGAUCUCUUCAUGGGAAUCACUUUAACCGCCAAGAUUUUAGAAACUGAAAUGUCAUUGUUAAAGAUGACAAUUGACAAAGUGGUAUCUAUGAAUAAAUUCCUGCAUAUUCCUACAAUUAGGAAGAAUUUAGUUUACUACUUAUUACAAAUGGAUUUAUAUUUGUCCUGGUAGUGACAAAGUUAUAAUAAGUAAGAAUGAGAUGUUCUUGGAAAAUUGUUAACUCACUGAAGGCUUUUUCAAGUUGAAUGUAAUGGUACUGACAAUAUUAAUAAGAAUUAUGUUUUUGUUUACUUAUUGAAGUCAAAUUCUUAAUGGCAUUCUCGUUUAGGACAUGUUAAUAUAAAAUCUUGCGAAAAUUAACAAAUUUAAAAGUAUUGCCUGAUUUCGAGUGUAAUAAAUAAAAUUGUGAAAUUUAUGUUGUAUCUAGUUUAUUAAAAAACCUUAUAACUACAUCCUAGAUCAAUGACAGUAAUAGUGAUUGCUAAUGAUGGUGGUUGUUGUGAUGAUAGAGAUGGUGAAUUCUAGUGGCAGGUGAUUAUGAAUAAAACGGUCUGAAAUAUAGCCAACAUAAAAAUACCUCUCAGUGAUAUUAACACUCUAUUUUAGAACUUAAUAAUUAGCACUAUUGGAUUAAGGUAGGUAUGUUUUUUUUGUGGAGCUUUCGACUCAACUCUUGUGCAGAGUUGUUGAGUUAUAUUUUGUGAAGGCUGUUGUAUCCUGGAGGGGACAAGUCAAAGAGGACUACUGCUGGAUCGGUGAAAACAUUUGCUGAAGUGAAGAGAUUAAUUUCUUCAUUUUAUUUUCAAUUGUAAUUUUGCAAUUUUAUUAUCUUGUAAGUUUUUUCACUAACAAUUUUAAGGAGAUUCAAAGAUGGCUACAAUUGAAAAAACUGCGGAUGUAAAGAUGGGAGAUCUUAACAAGUCAUUUCGAUUCAAUGGUAACCAUUUUAAGAGAUCGAAGGGUAAAUUACUUUUCUAUUUAAGUCUUCUCAAUGUUUCGUAUGUAUUAACCGAGAAAAAUCCAAAAUAAAGAAGAAGUCACCAUUAUGAAUGAUGAUGAAACUAUUUCUCAUCUAGAGAAAGUGAAAAAGUACGAUGGUGAUUCCUAUAAGUGUCGAUAUUAUCUUCUUAAUUGUCUAUCUGAUAAUUUUUAUGACUAUUAUGAUAGAACUUACUCUAGUGCAAAGAAAAUUUGGAAGGCAUUGAAGAGUAAGUAUGAUACCAAAGAGGCUUGAGCAAAAAAUAUGCAGCUAGUAGAUUUUUUCGUUUCCAAAUGGUGGACAACAAAUCAGUGGUAGAUCAAGAUCAAGACUUCAUCAUGAUUGUUGGAGAGCUUAGGUCCGAAAAGGUUAAAAUUGGACAUAACCUUAUUAUUUGUGGCAUAGUUGAUAAAUUUCUACCUUCUUGGAAGGAAUUUCAAAAAACUAUGCGCCACAAACAAAAUGAAACCUCUCUUGAAACCUUGAUAAUGAAAAUCCGCAUGGAAGAAGAAGCAAGGGGCCAAGAUGCACUUUUACAAACAGAAGAGAACAACAUCACAUCAAAGGUAAAUUUAAUUACUUCGAAUAAUGCUACGCCUGAAACUCACAAAAAUACUUCUUUAAAGCAUAAGAAGAAAAAAUUCAAGAAAAAUAAUGGUAGACAUCCCAAGAAAAAUAAUGGUGAAAAUCACCAAGCACAAAAUCAACAAGUUCAAGAAAGGGGACCAUGCUUUGUUUGUGGCAAGAGUGGUCAUAUUGCUCGAUUUUGCAGAUUCUGGAAACGUGGUCCUAACCCUCAGGCAAAUGUUACCGAAGAACCUUUUGUGGCGGUGAUUACCUACAUAAACAUGGUUGAGAAUGUUGAUGGAUGGUGGGCUGAUUCUGGUGCAAACCGUCAUAUCUGUUAUGACAAAGACUGAUUUAAAAAAUAUACUUACUUUGAGAAGCCCAAAACGAUCAUGCUUGGUGAUGCUCACACUACUCAAGUGCUUGGAAAGGGAGAUGUUGAAUUGUGUUUUUCUUCUGGAAGGAUAUUAACAUUGAAAGAUGUACUUUAUACUCCUUCUAUGAGAAAAAAAUUGAUGUCUAGUUUUUUUUCUUAAUAAAGCAAGAUUUAAACAGAUUAUUGAAUCUGAUCAAUAUGUAAUAGUGAAGAAAGGUAUUUUUGUGGGGAAGGGGUAUGCAUGUGAUGGGAUGUUUAAGUUGAAUGUUGAAAUGAAUAAAACUUCUACUUCUGUUUAUAUGCUUUCCUCUACUAAUUUUUGGCAUGCUCGUUUGUGUCAUAUUAAUGAUCGUUAUGUUGGAAUCAUGAGUAGUUUAGGAUUAAUCUCAAUGAUUAAAAAGAAUUUUAAAAAGUGUGAGGCUUGUAGUAAAGUCAAGAUCACUUAAAGUUCUCAUUUUCAAGUUGAAAGAAAAAUUGAUUUAAUAGAAUUAGUUCAUACUGAUAUUUGUGAACUUGGUGGAAUUCUAACUCGUGGAGGUAGUAAAUAUUUUAUCACUUUCAUUGAUGAUUUUUCUAAGUUUACAUAUGUUUACUUGAUGAAAAAUAAAAGUGAUGCUUUUGAAAAUUUCAAAACUUACCUCAACGAGGUUGAAAAUCAGUUUGGAAGAAAAAUAAAAAGAAUUAGAAGUGAUAGAGGCUGUGAAUAUGAAUCAAAUAAGUUUAAUUCUUUUGUAAGAUCAUUGGGAAUAAUUCAUGAAACUACUCCUCCUUACUCUCAUUUUUCUAAUGGAGUAGCAGAAAGGAAAAAUAGAACUUUGGUUGAAUUGAGUAAUGUCAUGCUUAUUGAGUCACAUGCACCAUUAAAUUUUUGGGGUGAAGCUAUCUUAACUGCUUGUUAUGUGUUGAAUCGUGUGCCUCAUAAAAAGUCUAAAUUGACACCUUUUGAAUUGUCAAAAGGUUACAAGCCAAGUUUGAGAUAUCUUAGAGUUUGGGGUUGUCUAGCCUUUGUGAGGCUAAUGGAUCCCAAGAUUACAAAGUUGGGUAAGAAAGUUACUACUUGUGCUUUUCUUGGUUAUGCUUCAAAUAGUAUAGCCUAUAGAUUUUUUAAUCUUGAAGAUAAUAUUGUAAUAGAAUCUGAUGAUGCUAUUUUUCAUGAAAAUAAUUUUCCUUUUGAUACUAAAAAUAGUGGGGGUCAAAAGAUUGAACAAAAUAUUUUGUCACUGCCUAGUUCUUCUACUUCAACUUUGAAAAAUAAAGAAGUUGGUCAUUUUGAGUUAAGAAGAAGUAAAAGAGCUAGAGUAGAAAAAGAUUUUGGUCCUGAUUUUUAUGUGUUUAAUAUUGAAAAUGACCCUCUAACUUUGAAAGAAACAUUAUCUUCACAUGAUUCUAUUUUUUGGAAAGAGACUGAAAAUGAUAAAAUGGAAUCUCUAAUUUCUAAUAAAACUUGAAAGUUAGUUGAUUUACCACCGGGUUGUAAAACAAUUGGUUGCAAAUGGGUCUUAAGGAAAAAGUUGAAACCGGAUGGUUCUAUUGAUAAAUACAAGGCUAGGCUAGUUGCAAAAGGUUUUAAACAACUAAAAGACCUAGAAUUUUUUGAUACUUUUUCUCCGGUAACAAGAAUUACAUCCAUUAGACUUUUAGUUGAUAUGACUGCAAUUUUUUAUUUUCAAAUUCAUCAAAUGGAUGUGAAAACUGCUUUUCUAAAUGGAGACCUAAAUGAAGAAAUUUAUAUGGACCAACCCGAGUGUUUUGUUGGAGCAGACCAAGAAAGCAAAGUCUGUAAACUUACUAAAUCUCUAUAUGACUUGAAACAGGCACCAAAACAAUGGCAUGAAAAGUUUGAUUCUUGCAUGAUUGAAAAUGGUUUUAAAACAAAUGAGUGUGAUAAGUGCAUAUAUCAUAAGUCUUGGUAUGAUUCACAUGUGAUCAUUUGCUUAUAUGUUGAUGAUUUGUUGAUCUUUGGCUCUAACAUGAAUGUUAUUGAUGAAGCUAAAAAUGCUCUUAGAAGCCAUUUUGAUAUGAAAGAGGCAAAUUUUAUUCUUGGAACAUGUGAGGGGAUUUUCCUUGACCAGUCACAUUAUGUUGAGAAAAUUUUGAAAAAAUAUAACUUUCAUGAUUGCAAGCAUGUUGCUACUCCUUUUGAUUCAAGUGUUCACUUAUUUCCUGUUGAAACUGAAAAUGAUAUAAUAAAUCAAAAGGAAUAUGCUAGUAUAAUCGGAAGUUUGAGAUAUGUGACUGAUUGCACUAGGUCUGAUAUUGCAUAUGCAGUAGAAGUACUUGGCAGGUUUACAAGCAAGCCAGGUAAUAAACUUUGACAUGCUAUAACAAGAGUUAUGAGAUAUUUUAUUGGAACGAAAAAUUGUGGUUUGUUCUAUAAAAAAAUAUUCUUUUGUACUUGAAGGCUUUUGUGAUGCAGAUUGGAACACUUUGUCAGGUGAUUCCUGUUCUAUCACUGGUUAUAUCUUUACUUUAGGUGGUAGUGCUGUUUGUUGGAGAUAAAAAAAGGAAACUAUAAUUGUUAAAUCUACCAUGGAGGCUGAACUAAUUGCUUUAGUUUUAGCUAGUGAGGAAGCGAAUUGGUUAAGAGAUUUAUUGUUUCAAAUUCCUUAUUUUGAAAAAUCAAUUCCUUCUAUUUUAAUUCAUUGUGAUAGCACCGCUGCAAUUGGUAGAGUUCAAAAUCGUUAUUACAACGGUAAAUCCAGACCUAUAAGGAGGAAACACAGUAAUGUAAGAUCGUAUUUGACAAAUGGUACUAUUAAUGUUGAUUAUAUCAAAUCUUGUGAUAAUCUUGCAGAUUCUCUUACGAAGGUGUUAACAAGAGAAAAAGUCUGGAGCACAUCGAGGGGGGUGAGAUUGAAGCCUACAAAUCCUUGAGUCAUAUAUGAGGAAACCCAACCUGGGGACAAGAGAUCCGAUAACAAGGUUCAAAGGGAAAAACUAAUCAUAUGAUGACUUGUUGUGAAAAAUGCAUUAUUUUUCACCUCCCUAUGAUGUGAGUGCAUUGUUUCCUGUAGUUUGUGAAGGUUGAGUUGAUAAAACUCUUAAUGAAUAUAUGUAGCCCAUAUGGGUGGAGUGUUAAUCUUACAGGAGCAUUCUCGACAGAUUUCACCUAUGUGAUGUGUCGAAGUAGGUCGCUUCCUAUGAAAAUGGGGCUUAUUCUCAAAUGCACUUAAACCGGGAUAGCACAUGGCCAUAACGUGCCGACUGUUAAAGCUCAUGUCAACACCUUGAUUAUUAUGUGUGAGAAGUGAUAUUUUAUUUCCCUUAAGCAGUCAUAGUUCAAGUCUGAGACCACUACGACUCUGGAGUAAAUGUUACUGUUUCAUUAAGUAGAGGUUCAAUGCAGAGCACACCUUCAUUAUGCAUAGUAGUCUUCCUUCAACUGAGAUACUCUCUUAUCUAAAUAUUGAAAUGAGUGGGGGAUUGUUAAGUUAUUAGCAUUUUAAUAUUAAUAUUUAACAUAUUAAAUUGCUUUAUUUUGGAAUUAUAAGAAUGACCAUUGGUAAGCAUUUGAGUUUUAAACUACCAAUUUAAUCAUGUUAUUCAUCUUUGACUUGGUAGCCAUGAAAUGUCAUUACUUUUGCUUUAUUAGUUGAAUUCAUUGUGAGAUAAAAACAUUUCAAUAAACAUUGGAAUGGAUAACUUCUACAUCAUCCAAUAGCAUUGGUUGUCCAUCAUUUUAUUUCAUUCUUAAUUCCUCCAUUACUCUUUGUAACCUAUGUAACCUAUGUAACUCCUAUUGUAACCUAUGAAACUCCUAAGGCCAUUAUCUUCACUAUUUACUACCUCAAUUAUCUUCCUAUUCAUCGCUAGGAAGACUUCUUGUAGUAUAAAUAGUGGUGGUCUUCAUUUGGUCUGGGAUACACAAAACACAAGAGAAAACAAAGAGUGAAAGAGUUAGUAUAAAAGAGAGUUCUUAUUGGUUGAAGGGAGGUUUUUUUUUUGUGGAGCUUUCGACUCAACUCUUGUCCAGAGUUGUUGAGUUAUAUUUUGUGAAAGCUAUUGUAUUCUAGAGGGGACAAGUCAAAGAGGAUUACUGUUGGACCGGUGAAAACAUUUGCUGCAGUUUUGAAUCUCCUUAAAGAGAGCGAGAUAUCAGCGCCUCAACCUGAAGAGAUUAAUUUCUUCAUUUUAUUUUCAAUUGUAAUUUUGCAAUUUUAUUAUGUUGUAAGUUUUUUUACUAACACUAUUCAUACUAAUUAAGUACUUAAUUCUUAAUAAAAAUAAAUACACUUGAAAGCUAAGAGUCAGAAGCAUUCAAAUGCAAACCUCCAUUUAGUACAAUAAAUGAGGACAAAGUUAAUCAAAUAUGAGAAAAUAAAAUAACAAUUAUACCAAACACAACUUUAAUAAAUGGACUUUUGAGAAUUCGUACAUAUUUACAUAUUUUAAGAAAGAUAUAUACAUAAACCUGGCUCUUACCUUGAUUUCAGCUGACAUCUAUGAUCACUAAUUUUGGGAACUAUCAUGUAGGACGACAUGCAACACAAUUUUUUUUAUUUGUUCAAUUUUAUACGAACUUAAAUGUCGAUUUUUGCACACUAAAAUUAAAUGGUAAUAGUUUCCAUGUAUUAUACCCAUAUAUUAUUCAUAUUGUAUAAUGGAUAACAUGAGUCAAUUCACUUUUGAAUAAUGAGAUACCCAAUCCAUUUAAAAUAAAAUAAAUUAAACUGCGUCAAUAACUAUAAAUUUUAACCAAUUUACCACCCUUUAGAGGGAAUUAAGUUGUUUUGUGUCACAUGUUAAAUCGAAUGGCGAUGUGAUGUCAUUAUCUACUUAUGAAUAAGUAAUAUUUUCAAAUUAAAAUACAAGGAUUUUUAACUUUUAGAUGAUAUAUACUCAAUAAAAAAUUAUCUAGCCGAUCCCAAAUCAUUUAAAAUUGAGAUACAAUUAUUGUUGCAAAGCCCUUUAUUAUGUAAAGGUUGUUUUCAACAUGAAAAUGAAUUCGCAAAGCAACCAUUCAAACACUUCUCUUUUUCAAAAGCUUCUACGAAAAACUAUCGCUAAACACUAUCAUCAACACUUAACUUUUAAAAGUAAUCAUUCAAUUAUUGUUCACAUUUGGAAGUCAAUUAAUACGAUUUAUUUACAUUUGGAAGACAAUGGUUUGACUUCUAGGUUCAAUAAAGUAUAUAGUUCUAGAUAAUUCACAAGACUAACACCAACUAGUUUGAGAUUAUGUUUUCAUUGACUAAUUAAUAUGAUUGUAGCCAUCAAUUCUGACGGUAGUCUGUGAGUCAUAAUUUUGGGCGACAGUCGAGAUUUAAAAUCUACUCACCACUAAGAAUGUCAAUUUUCAAUUUAACUGUUUGCUUUACCAUUUAGCAUCAGUCUUGAACCCAAUCCAGAAAAUUAAUGAUUGCCAAAAUGCAAAGAGAACUAGGACAAACUUAAUCGAACAGCAUUAUGAAAAUAAAAAUAAAAAACAGUUGACAAGCUGCAUAUGCAUACAAGACAAAUAAAAGUUGUUGCAGCUGAAUAGAUUUAACUGGUCAUAAUGCACAAGCCUCACAAAUCUUUUAUAACACACGUAUGUAUAAUAACAUAAUAUGGUAGAUCACUACUUUAUGGCUCCACCAAAAUCUUUCCUGUCGCAUGUCCGUCGAUACUCCUGCUCCAAGCAUCUUCAGCCUUGCUCAGAGGAAAUUUGGAGUCAAUCACUGUUUUGAGCUUCCCUUCCUUCACAAGCUUAACAAGCAAUUCCAGGUUUUCCUUAUUGGCAUUUACAAGAAAUGGCACCAACUGCUUCUUUGAGAAGGUUAAUUUCUUUACUGCAAAGGUCAACAUGGAGCUAGCUCCAGGAGUUAGAUCGAUCACCUUUCCACUUGAACUUAAAUUAGGCUCAAAGGUAGACCAAGGGAUGCCUGUUGUGCAGUUAAUCACUGCAUCAUAUUUUUGGCCUGAUGGACUCUUAAGAGCAGCUCCCUCUGGAGUCUUGUAAUCAAGAAUCUCAUCUGCUCCUAAGCUCUUCACAAAAUCAAUGUUGCGGGCUCCACAGGUGGCAGUAACAUGGGCGUUACCAAGUUUUGCCAAUUGAACAGCAUAGUGACC